AUGUUGAUGCUUUUCCCUUUUCUCACUGCUGUCUCAUGGGCCUCAUGGCAGGUACGUAGCUUUAUUAGCUACCCCAGCCCUUUGUCAGGAAGAAAAGCUGAAGGUACUUAAAUUGAUUAUUACAUGAUAACUAAUAUUGUCCUUACCUUAAUAUGGUAUUAAUGGUGACUGGAAUGUAACAGGAGUUACAACACAAGCUAGACUUACUGAAUUCAGAACAACCAGAAAGCCAUGAUGAGUUGUGAAAACCCAGAUGAAUUUUAACUGGUAAUUUUACUGGCAUUUGAUUCCUUUUCUUUGGAGAUUUGAGUCCCAAGAUGAUCAAUUUUUACUUUGAACAGCUAGUGAGAAGAUCAUGCAGCAACUGAAGAAAUGGCUCCCUUAAGUUUGGUAUACUAGAGCUUACAGAAAUUUGAUAUUGGUUGGGGUUAAGGAGGGGCUAGGACUAGGAACGGGCUGGGAAUCCUUAUGGCUCUUCCAGUUUGGCAACAUUCUGACAUGACCAAUUCCUUAGAACAUUUUUCUUAUAUUAAAAUCACAAUUACUACUUGGUCUGUGGCUCUCCUUCAGAUUGUCCAUUCCAAUACGAUGCAAAAUACUAGGCAGCCAGAGAUUCUAAAACUGAAUUUUUGUUAGAAAUGAGUUGACACCAUUAUUAAUUUUAGAUGGAAAAGUGGUUUGAACAACCAUCUUAUAACGUUCUUGUGUGAUUCAUAGUUUUUUUCAAAUUUUGGUUGCAUGGAUUCAGGAUGGAGAUUUUCAUAUUUUGUUUGUGUGGCUCAUGAAGGGGUUAAAAUUAUUCUGCUGAAAAGAGUUAAAUACCAAGUUUUAUCGAGUUUUUGGCAUUUCUAAAAUGAUAAAUAUGAUAAAGCCAUUAGGAUUGACCUAGUGGUGAUGGAUUUUGGUAGUAUGUUAUUAAUAGAUGUUCUGAGUUCGAUUCUCAACCUAUUGUAAAAAAAAAUGAUAAAUAUGAUAAAUUCAUUUUAAAGUAUAAAGUGAGCAAUAACAAUUACUUUUAAAUAUAUUAUUCUAUUUAUUUUUUUAUGAAAAUAAUAAAUUAAUGGUUGAUAUUAUGGGUCCGUUUGUUUUAACAUUUACAAUGGAAUCAAUGAGUAUCGAACUUUGAACCUUGUGCAUACUACUCAAAUCACUCACCACUCGAUCAAAUCUAGUGGCUUCCAAGGACUUCCCAAUGAUAACUUAAUUAAAAUUAGUAAAAGUUAUUUUACAUUUUAUCUUUUUAUAAAUUAAAAGAGUGACGACAAAAGGGGUAGUGAUCUUCUCGAUUUUUUAUCGUAACGACAAAUCAAACAAUUUAAGUUUGAUCAUUCAAAUCAAACACAUUGAUACCGUGGUCUUGGUUUUUUUUUUGUUUGCUACCGUGGUCUUAAUUGACAAAGGAAACAAUAUAAACAAUAUUUUUUGUCGCUCAAUCCAUUUUUCGCGUCCUCUAUAAAUUUAUUAAAAUAUUUCUGCGGACUAUUAAGUAGCGGAUAUUCCCAAAAAUACCAUACUAAAUUUUAUUUUUAUAAUAUCCACAAAGAUAAAAAUAAAAACGCGUAGAAUGUACAAGAAGUAUAUAAGACGAUAAAAGAAAAUGUCAACGAUAUUCGGUGAAUGAAACAUGAAGCUCGGGGACAAACUUGCUCUCUCUCACUAAUUAUUAUACCGAAAACUGUAUUUUAAUCUUGAUUUGUGUCAAAAAAAUCUUAAUCUUGAUAUGACAUGUCACUUUAUUUUCUUUUUCUUUUAUAGUAAGAUGAGUAACACCCACAGGCCACAAUAGUGAGAUGAGUAACACCCACAAACAAGAGGACAAAUCGAGAGGGUGGGCUCAAGUCGCCAACACAACACCCAUCCCGUUUACAGUUUACGAUAUAUAUAUUCUAUAAGAAAAAUGCUAGGAAUAAGAAUAAUGAUAUGAGCAUAUUCUCUAACAUCGUGUACCAUUAUAUUAUUUUAUAUCGGUUAAAAUUCGUAUUAAUUAGUUUUGUGAAUUUAGUUCAGUUGGCAACGAUGUUGCAUUAUAUAUGUAGGUGACCGAAGUUCGAAUUUCAAUCAUUCCACUUAUCCACCCAGUGCAAUUUGUAACCAUGAGGUUACUUGACAAAAAAAAUAUCGAAAAAAUAUCGUAUUAAUUUGUUCUGUAAGGUAGUUCAGUUGCUACCAAGAGACGUUAUUGGAGAUGUCACAUGUUUGAACUAUGAAUUUUUGAAUUUCCCACACUUAUGGCGUGUACGGGUGUAGUUGGAUCGGUUUUUUUUUAACAUGAUGUUUUUUUAUAGGCAAAUGUUAGUGUGUUAGUACAUAUUGUUAGAGAAGAAGAGAAAAUGUUAUUAGUCAGAGAUCAAAUUCUGAACCUCUUUCUUAAUUUCUUCAAUGUCUCAACCAUUUACUACUGGGUUACACCUUCGGGGAGUUUUUAACAUAUGUAUUGUGCUAUGUUAAUUAUCCUUCCUCAUAUGUUUCUUCUUGUAAAUUAAUUUUAAAUUUUAUUUUGAUAAACUAUUUCAUAGUAUAAAAAAAAUAGUCAAAAAUAAUCAAGCCCGCAACCCGUUUUGGACCGGGCUCAAGUAAUAAUUUUGGAGCCCAUUUUUAAAUAGGGGUUUUGGCCCGACCUGAUAAAAUCCGAAUCCCAUCUAGGGCGGCCUGUUUUAAGUCGGUAACCUGUUUUGACAUUUCUUAUUAAAGGGACUAUAUGUUUUCUAUUUCUAAAAAUAAAAUAAAAUAAACAAUGAUGCAGAUUUGAGAACAAAAUAUUAAGAAUCUUUAUAAAAUAUAAAAUAUCACAUAAUAAUAUAUAGUAUUUUUAUAAUGACAGUUUUUUUUUCUUUUUCUUGAGGUAAUAUAAUGACAGUUAUAUAAUAUACUGUAAUAUAUUUAUAAUAUUUAGGUUGAUUAUUGGUCAAAAAAUAGACACUUUGGUUGAUUAUUACUUUUUGCGGAAGAAAAGAAAGUCAUAAACCUGGUUCGCGUGAGACUUUCUUGGAGAAUAUAUAUAAGCGCCUUUCGUUUAUUUGAGAGUCACACAAACCAUAAACGGAACAAAACUCACCCAGAAACAACAAACUCUUGGAUCUAAAGAUGGCGCCGAUUGUAGCUGAAACGAAGCCCAAAACUAAGAUCGUGUGCACCCUUGGACCUGCAUCUAGGUCUGUGCCGAUGGUCGAGAAGCUUCUACGAGCAGGCAUGAACGUUGCUCGCUUCAACUUCUCUCAUGGUUCCCAUGAAUACCAUCAGGAAACCCUAGAUAAUCUUAGAGCCGCCAUGGAGAACACUGGUAUUCUCUGCGCCGUCAUGCUCGACACUAAGGUACUGUUCCUCUUUCGAUUUUGUUUUUAUUUUACAUCUUGAUUUUCCUUUUAUAAUUUUCAAUGCUUUUUUUAUUUGAAUUUGAAUAGUGUGUGUGUGCCUGUAAGGUUAAUCUGUGAUUUAUAUGAAUCAAUCAAGCGACAACUGAGAGCAGGUUGAUUUUGAACUUAUAUGGAUAAAAUUAAAUUUUAGUAAUUCAUAGUGACCUUACAACUAUAAGAUUAGGUCAUGUUUGGAUAAACAACUUAUUGAAGUGGUUAUAGCAUAAUCACUUAUCAUAUAACUAAUUAUGUACAAAAGUUAAAAUAAAGUCAAACUGUUUUCAUAAAAGCUAAUGACUGUUUUUGUAAGCUACUUUGGACGGCUUAUGGAAAUACGAUGAAAACAAAAAUCUUAUUGUGGAUCUGUCUUAGUUUUUACUAUAAACUCUUUCAAACAUCAAUCUAAACAAAAUCUAGUUGUUUUAACACUUUUGCGCUAUGCAUAUAGUAAGAUAAGAGCAUCUACUAUGCUUGGUGAUUCUUACUCGAUUCUUAAUCUUAUAUUUAAGAAUCUGUUUUUGGUGAAUAUUGUUAUUUGAGGGGGAUGAGAUGAAUGGUGUACUAGACUCUGUUGUCAAAAGCAGCCGGAGCGGCCGCUAUUGCAGCACGGCUUUUUUUCAGGCCACCACUCCUAGGCACGCUGGUGCGUCGUGAAUGGGUGAAACGGUCAAAGCGGCCAGUUUCACCGCGAACUAAGCAGUGUGGUUUGGGGUCAAAGCAGCCGUGUUUUUUGGUUUAAGCAUUGAAAGAAGAGAAGGAGAAAAAAAAAUGAAAGAAAUGUGAAGAAUGACAUAGGAAGCAUGAAGCUGAAGCCUACCCUUCUUCUUUUGACCACGAAGUCAUCUCUCUCUCUCUCUCUCUCUCUCUCUGUAUGGUGAAAGCAGGCGGAGGCUGGUGGGAGAGAUGAAAAUUAGGGUUAAUUUAUUUAUUUUUUUACAAAAUUAGGGUUAACUUUUUAUUCUUUUGUCAUAAUAUAUAUUUUGGGCCGGACCCAUAAUGAUCUAAUCCAACAAACCCAACAUGAUAAGUAAAAACAAGUGGUGGUAUUAGUACUAUAUAUUAAUUCUAAAUAUAUUCAUUUAUACUAAUACUAAAUAUAUUUUAUAUUAAUUUUAAUAAUAGAAAUCAAUUAAUUAUUUUUUUACAAUAAAAAAUCAAUUAAUUAUUUUUAAUUUUUAAUUUAUAUCAAAUGAUAAAAGUGGAAGCAAAUACUUUUGUUUUCAAUCUUACAUGGAUGCUUAAUAUUAGUAAAACUCAAUGUUGAGCAUACUUGUAAUGUUGAGUGUUCUAUUAAUUAGUAAACACACUUAAGUGUUCCAUAGUCCUGAAGAAUAGUUCAAGAACAUUAUGACUUAAAUGUUUGGGCAUGUCAUGUUUCCUAUGUUUUACUAAAUGUUGAGUUGGUGCAAAUUCAAUUCAUUACUAUUCAUGAACUCCAUUAAGUGAAACCUGCAUUGUCAUGUUCUUUCAUUUUGUAUCUUUCAUUUAUGUAUCUACUUACACUGGUGUAGGGGCCUGAGAUUCGAACUGGAUUUCUCAAGGAUGCCAAGCCUAUCCAACUGAAACAAGGUAAAGAAAUAACUAUUUCGACCGACUAUAGCAUAAAGGGUGAUGAGAAUAUGAUCUGCAUGAGCUACAAGAAGUUGGCUGAGGAUGUGAAGCCGGGGAGUGUCAUACUCUGCGCAGAUGGAACCAUAUCAUUUACAGUUUUAUCAUGUGACAAAGCAGCUGGUUUGGUUCGAUGCCGUUGUGAGAACUCUGCCAUGCUUGGUGAGAGAAAGAAUGUUAAUCUUCCUGGAGUCGUUGUUGAUCUACCAACUUUGACUGAGAAAGACAAGGAAGAUAUCAUGGUAUGGGGAGUUCCCAAUAAAAUUGAUAUGAUUGCGCUUUCGUUUGUUCGAAAAGGUUCUGAUCUGGUGCAAGUUCGCAAGUUGCUGGGGAAACAUGCUAAGAACAUACUUCUCAUGUCAAAGGUAUGGUAUUUUGUGGUUUUAUUUCAUGAUAAUGAAAAUUGAUUGUUGAGCUGUUUUAAAAAUAUAUUAAGAGUUAUGAAUCAGACAUGAUAUAAUAGAGAUGCUUAUUGAAUCCACAUUAAUGUGUGCUAUUGGGCUUCAUCUAACAAAAUUCAGGAUGUUCUUUAAAGAAACUAUGUUUUUAGUACCUAGCAAUAUUUUCUAUCUCUCGUAUGUGUUAUGUUUAAUUACUUAUUUCUAAUUGUUUUUCCUCUGUUACUUCUAAAUGUAUGCGGCAGGUUGAAAACCAAGAAGGAGUUGCAAAUUUUGAUGAUAUCCUUGCAAACUCUGAUGCAUUUAUGGUGGCACGUGGUGACCUUGGAAUGGAAAUUCCAAUAGAGAAGAUAUUUCUCGCACAGAAAGUGAUGAUUUAUAAGUGCAAUAUCCAAGGAAAACCAGUUGUUACUGCGACCCAGAUGUUGGAGUCAAUGAUCAAAUCUCCCAGACCAACCAGAGCUGAAGCUACUGAUGUUGCGAAUGCAGUUCUUGAUGGCACAGACUGUGUCAUGCUUAGUGGUGAAACUGCUGCUGGAGCAUAUCCAGAACUUGCUGUUCGAACCAUGGCUAAAAUAUGUGUUGAAGCUGAGAGCACCAUUGACUAUGGAGAUGUAUUUAAAAGGAUAAUGGAGCACUCACCAGUACCAAUGAGCCCAUUGGAGAGUCUAGCUUCUUCUGCUGUUAGAACAGCCAAUUCAGCUAGAGCAGCUCUCAUAUUGGUUUUAACUCGAGGAGGGACUACUGCAAAAUUGGUGGCUAAAUAUAGGCCAGGCACGCCUAUCCUUUCUGUUGUUGUUCCUGAGCUUACGACUGAUACCUUUGAUUGGUCAUGUAGUGAUGAGUCCCCUGCGAGACAUAGCUUGAUAUUCCGAGGAUUGAUUCCAAUAUUAAGUGCAGCUUCUGCUAGAGCUUCUCAUGCAGAAACAACAGAAGAUGCAAUAGAAUUUGCACUUCAAUGUGCCAAGGGAAAGGGACUCUGCGUUAAUGGGGAUUCUGUCGUGGUUCUGCAUCGUGUGGGCACUGCAUCAAUCAUCAAAAUCUUGACCGUGAAAUGAUCUCUCAAUAUAAGUAUUAUUUCUGUUUUUUGGCAGCCUAUUUUUAUGAUGGGAAAUAAUGAACUACUAUAUUAUACCAUCUCCGGUCUAUAAUGGAUGCAAAACAUCAAUUAGAUGCUUUUAUUGGGGUUUCCCCUAUUUUACACUUAUCCGCAUAUCACUGUUUCCUUACUAUUGUUAUCUUUGAGACAAGUUGUGAACUCUUAAUUUUUUUGAGAUUAUGUAUGAACCUUAUGGUACUCGAAGAUAUGGCCAACUUUUGGCUUUUGAUAUAUAUGUUGGCAAAAAAAUGCAAUAUAUAUCUUGGUUUUUCAUUUUAACUUUUGGUUUUUCAUAUUUAAUUAUUAUUCAUCCUUAUGAAAUCUAAUGAUUUGGUCUUUUAAAUAUUCAUAAAAUUUCAACUAUAUGUUUUAAGAGUAGAGCUAUUUAGUACGGCGAAAAACUGGCAAAUGUGUAAUAUCCUCCUCUCAGGCUCUCACUGUCUCGUACCGUAUGUGUUAUGUUUUUAGGGAACCAAAAAAAAAAAUCCAACACUCAGUACGUUGUGUUUUGACUGUGUUAACAUCAAGCACAAUUCUUGUUUAAAUAUAGACAAGUUUGAUACCAUUGGUUUUUGGCAACCAUUCAUUCUGGCUCACCAAAUUUUAUUUUACAAACCCCAUAGUAAGGAUGAAAUCACAAGAAACAAAAAGUGCCAAUGCUUUUUCUGUUCAGGUACCCCCAAAAGUGAAGGACUAUUUUGAACUUCACUAAUUGGAUGUAGCAACUCAGUAAAUUAGAUGUUUAACUUCUUUAUGAUUACUACUACUAAUAGUACUAGAAAAUGUGUGUAUCAUCAAGUAAUGACACAGUUGCUUAAAUAUUCAGCUCACAGAGAAAGGCUACACGUGACGUAAGUGAUGACUAUAAAAACAGCCACUGCUUAUGAAAUACUACCAUCAAAUAUAAUUUAUAUUAUUUUUUUAUAAAAUUUCCAUCAAAUCUCUGUUGAAACUAAACUCACCAUAAAAUAUAAGUUAAAGGAUUUUGAAUUCGUUAAUCAUAGAUUUUAUACCCUUGUUUUUAUUUUGUCCCCCCUAUAAUCAAUGAUGGUAUUGACCAGCAUGAGUUACAUACAUAUUCAACAUCUUUCCAUUUAAUAAGUAAAUAUGAACACUAACUGAUUUCAUAGCAUCUUUAAUAUUGUAUAUAUAUCCUCAUGGUCUAGUUUAAAAAAUAAUUAAAUAAAAAAAUGCCUGCUACUUGACUAUGGAUUCACUAACUAGCGCCUCCUAAUCAAUCACUGCAACAAAAGAGGCAAGAAAAACCCCGGAACAAGUUCCAGACAUAUUUUCCACCUAUAUAUGCAGCAUGGAAAACUAGGGUGCAGCAUGCCGAACUGCUUGCUCAUAUGCAGAUCUGUCAAAAAUGUACUAGAUUGGUUUCUUCCUAAGCUGAAUUUUCACAGACAUAGUCAGGUAUUGCUUCACGGCAAAACCUUGGAUUNNNNNNNNNNNNNNNNNNNNNNNNNNNNNNNNNNNNNNNNNNNNNNNNNNNNNNCAAUGAGAAAGUUGCCAACAGAUACAUAUGGUACAAGACCCCACUCCCAUACAGGCUGCUGCUAUAACGAGAAAGAAACUCAUACCAAUACAGGAGUGAGAACAAUGCAUUUCGGUCUCUAUUUCAAACGAGUUCCAUCUUUUGAUUUAUACAUUCUCUUCCUGCAAGGAUCAAAAUACAUAAGUUACCAACUAGACAACUCUGAUUUGGGUGGGUCAAGAUGCCGGUAGACAACUACACAUGCCACCAGUGUUUUUAAGAAACAAAUGUGAGAAAUAUUAAUAAUGGAAAUGAUCUAGUUCUAUUGAAACUGUAUUUUUAUACAGAAAACAUAUAUAUGCAGUAUUGGCAAACAAUACUAGAAAUAAUGGUAUAGAGCAAGUGAAUUUUCUUGCAUAUCUAAGAAUUUCUGAGGUCAUUCCAUUUAUAUUAUCUUCAUUUAGAUCAUUUCUAUCCAGUUUCAUGCUUCUUCGUUCUUGACUUAGCCAACAAGAACUUAAGGGGCAGAUAUCUAACAAUCAUAGUGUGACAGCAACCUAAAUAGGAAAGAGAUUCACUUGUAGUUUUUAAAAUGGAAUUGUGUCUAAAAUAAAGAAAAAACACAUCCUCUUGCAUAUUCUAUGGCCUGGAAAGACUAUUUACUAUUCUGAAGAGCAAUAUCCGGCCUCGGUAGAAGGAACUACUAGCUAAGGUGAUGAGAUUUGAGAAAUUACAACGUCCUCGAGACCAGGCUUGCACCAGUCAGCAGUCACAGUAAUCGUUGAAAAGUAAUAAAACAAGUGGAGAAAACAAAGACAAUCAUGGGAUUAUCAAGAGUGUACUCUAGGAACAUUUGAAAGCCUUGAUAGUGAGAUGUCGUAACUGGGAGUAAGAUUACAAGGAAAACUAGAACAACGAAAAAUAUAACAAGAUAAAGAAUAAACAAGAGUAUCAGGAAACAUAAAAGGGUAGGGAGUACGGUCCCAUAACACAUAAGAGGGAAUGCAGCUAAUCAAAUAAAAUAAUAUGAUCUAACAUCACAAGUCAAAAUGCAUGAGUAAAGUCUGCAUUGUUUUAACUAAAUGAAGAAUUUUAUGCUUAGUGAUUCCAUUUUGUUGUGAAAUAUGAAGAAAUUGUUCACUGCAAAGAUUCCCUAUAUGGUCGUGAAUUCUUGUAAAGGAAUAGAUGCCUUUAACAUUGACACUGAGAAUAAUUAUGGAUUAAAAACAUCCAAAUGCAACUGAAUAACUGACAACAAAAAUUACAAAUACAGAAAUAAAAAACUAGAGUUGACGCAGCUCAACCCUAAAUGUCAUCAGCUCCAUAAUUUGGAAGACAAGAAAAGGAUACAAAAUUGUGCUUUCCUUUUUGACAAGACUCAUUAAAAAAAAAAAACCAGUAGNNNNNNNNNNNNNNNNNNNNNNNNNNNNNNNNNNNNNNNNNNNNNNNNNNNNNNNNNNNNNNNNNNNNNNNNNNNNNNNNNNNNNNNNACCAGUAGAAUGGAUAGAAUAUGGACCUGAAAGCAUUAGAGAGAAACAUGGAGCAGUACAAAUUGCAGAAAAGAUAGUAGAGUUUCGUCUUAGGUGAUUUAGGCAUGUGUUGAAAAGAUCUAUAGAAACAAUAGUAAGGAAGGUAGACAGAAUAGAGGAUAGUCCAAUUGUAAAAAGUAGAAGGGUACCAAAGAAAACUAUAGAACAAACUACUACAAAGAAUUUGGAGUUAACAAGUUUAUCAUUAGCAUAUUCAUUAUAGAACAUUAUGAUGUUAUUUGACCCAUGUAGUUGUCUCCAACUGCAAGAAAAAGUUUUGGUCGUUGAUGAGGUUGUUAUUUUUGCCAUAGAGAUAAUAAAUAAGAUCAGGAAAAACAUCAAUGUAAACGGAUUUUGUCUUAAAUCAGGUAGUUGACUAAUUUUGUCUUUAAUCGACUUUUGAUCCAAAGAAAUUGCCUGUUCUUAAGAUGUGACCUAGAGUCCAAUAUGUGGAAACUCCGCACAAACCAGGAGACAAGAAAGGUCGUUGGAAUAAAAGCAUAACUGAAACUACAAGUUGUUUCACAAUUUACAUAUAGCAGGCAUGACAAGAAAGUAUCACCGUUUAACCCUGAUCCCACUAUGAUUAUGACAAAAGUAUCUAAAAUAAAAUCUCUAAAGGGAUCCCUGUUAAAGUUUUUUUAAAAAGCAAUAAAAGUUAAUAAAACGUCACAGCAGACAUCCAUCCGGGUCAUUCAGUAUAAUGCGUACAUGAUCAAAAUUCUCAGUAAACUGUUAUAACUUAUAUGAGAUCAAGGUAAAAGAGGUUCUAGGCAAAGUAAUACAGAUUGAUGAUGUUGCAAAAAGAUAAGACUACAAAAGCAUAUACAAUAAACAAAUACCUACAUCCACAGCCUGAAAAGGUCUCUCCAUGGACGUCUUCUGAGAGACUCCAGUGGCUGAUGUUGACCCAUUCGGGGUAAUGUCAUGAUUGGGCAUCUAGAAACAACCAAUUAAAUGAAAUAGAUAAAGCCUAAUGAAGUUUAUCAAAACAGUAAGAAUAUGAUAACAAAUAUUAAAUUAAAUCCCUAUAAUGAAGGUUCCUGGAAAAAUUCCAAGAUAUAUCAAACUCUUUCAGUGUAAAACCUUAAAACUGUCAGUGGGAGUGGAAUGCACCUUUAAAACAUGUUAGAGACUAUACUGGUACCAAUAAAUAGAGCCCCCCCUCGAGGAAUGGGUAAAAAUUGAUUGGUUUGACAAAUUAGGCAGAACUUUUAUUCCUUCUUUGGGAUAGGUGUAACUCAAAUCACAAUGAUAAGUAGAAACCUAAAGUUCACCAGCAAAACUUAAUUUCCUCUGAAAAAGUUUUCAUUUCUUCCUUGUCAUUGUCAUCAAUGUAUAUCCAAUAAAACUUCACAAAGCGGAUAUUUACUGACAGGGUUCCUAAAAGAGGUAGAGUGGCAACUAACUACAGAUUAUACAGGAAUUUAUUCCCAGUUUCAUUUAUCUUUAUUCAUUUACCCAGCAGAAAAUAUCCAUAGCCGAACACAUUCUAAAGCACCAAAUAUCUCACUCUUACCAAGAAAUCCGUUCUAGGUUCGUUAUCUCAAAACUUACUACAGGACCAAGAAUAACUUGUAUACAGUUAUUUUAUUUUUGAAUCGUAUACAGUUAUUUUCUUAUCAUCAGAGAAAACUAUAUUAAGAAUACUUUUGUAGUAAACUCUGCUGUGUCCCUGCGGGCACUUUAUUAACCACUGGAUUGUGCACCGAGGAUUAAUCCAAUACUGAAAAUACCUGGCAACAAGUUAGGGUACUGGUACAUUUGAAAUGCCAGUGUAGAAAAUAUUGCCUCCCUAUAGACUGUUACGGGUAAAAUUGCAAAGUGUAGUGUCUAACCAAUACCAACUGAAAGUUAAUCAUUGAAGCAAACAUAAACAGAUAUAUGUUUAUGCGAAAAAUUUAGCAUACCCCGCAUGUAGAUUUGUUUUCUUGACUAUCUUCAAACAGGGAUGAGUAGUAUGCUGGAUCAUAUAUAGAGCCUCCAAGUAUCUCAUUGGAAUCAGAGAUUUGCCUUGCUACUGCAGGUGUCACGGGACUCAGAAAACUACUCCGUAAGUCAAAAUCUGCUGCUCGAGAAGAUGUGUCCACAUAGGAUGCACCCAGCCUAUAAAUUUGAAUCCAUAACAAUGAGGAUGAUAGCCUCACUAUGAAACCAGCAAUUUGCAUAGCCAGGGUAAGUUUCAAAGAAAAUAUGAAAAAUUUGGCAUAAUCGGCGGAAGAAAUAUUCCUGCAAACACACAUAAAGAUUUUCAUCAGAUAUGAAUCAAAAGCACAGUCAUGAUCACUUGUUUGAUUCAUACAAGCAUCAAAAAUUGGUUAAUGUGAAGUGUGAACAUAUAUACUCUACUCUGCUCACUAUAAUCACAGUGACUUCAUAUUGAUAAACAGUACUGGGUGCAAAAAAAGUUAGCAGUGACGUGACUAGAGUGCAUUAUGAUGACAAAUUUUUUUCAUCAAUCAAGAUAACCAAAGGGCACGUGAUGAUCAAAGGAUACUGGCUAUAAAGGUGAACAAGAAUCCUGCAACCACGUCAUUGGCACAAACAACCAAACUAGGCUAGUGGCAAAACUUGUUGAGAUACUCAGCAACAAAGUGAUGGGUUUUAUGUGAAUAAAACGGUAAUAAAGAUAAAGAGAUUUGUAUUACUGUGAAAAGAACGGAAUACAAGCAAACGAAAAUAGAACGUAUUGAUAGCGACGGCUAUCAACCCUAAAAAGCAACAAAGUGCUUCCCAAGCCACAAAGUGACCCCCACAAAAUAACCAAUUCUAGCAUGAAUAUUAUUCCCUCACUGACACCACCUUUAUAGCACUCACUCCCAUGCACAUCAUCACUUGUCCACCUCAUCAUUCCUAAUUCUCUUUCCUUUCUUUGGUUUGGGCUCAACUUCAAGGCCCAUCUCUUGAUCCAUGUUUCUAUCACAAUGUUAGUACAGAACAAAAUAAAAUACCAUUGUUUUUGAUUUUUGAGCUUGGAAUUGCAUUUCUUAGGACUUGUGCUUAUAUUUGAAAUUUUAACUCAAAUAUACACACCAAACAAGAUAACUUGAACUGGGAAGAAGUUCAAUUCCAUUUUCAAGGCUCAAUUCCAUCCACCAAAUGGCAGCUCAAAAUAUUCCAAUUUCCAACACAAUAGCAUAUGUCAACAAAUGAAAUUGCAAAUAAGCACGUUAAGUUUCAUGCAACUCUGUUAGCAACACAGUGAUUUGCAUCACAUCAUUCCACAAAAAUCCCACACAAAAGUCAUUAUCAUUAUUCUGCUUUAAAAAGAGACAUGAUUUCCCAGUGGCUCGGGUGUAUUUCAGUGAUUUGCAUCUCAUNNNNNNNNNNNNCGCCACACCCAUUUCUCUAUAUAACCGGAUACCACGCCUACACCAAAUAAAAUGCCUCGGUGGUGUCUAACCAACUGCAAUGUGAGAUAUAUGUAUAUUACACAUGUCUGCAUGAACAUCGCCAUAAAAUGUUUUCAUUCCCUUUUUUCCAAAAAUGCCACAAGAGUAUGACCCCGACCCAAAGGUCUUCCAAAAAUCCCAUACAAAACCAUAACUUUGCUUUAACAAGCCACAAAGGCAAGUGGUGCGAAAGAAACCUAAUUUUCCUAAUGAUCAAGUGUGAUUCGUCCAUGAAUCAUCAAUAUUCACUCUUCACACCAUACAAUCAAACAAUCCAGUGGCGAAACUCACUCACACACACUACUAAAUGUGACUGCAACCUCCUAUCAUCAUAUCUAACCAAUACAUGAUGUGAAAUUCAUAUUACAUAUUAUCUACGUGGCAAUCAAAUUAUUAAGUAAUUGGUCUGAAAUGUGAGUUAAAAACAUGUAUAAAAGAAGAGAAAAAACAUAACAUACCAAAUUUCAUGAGUGAAGAGAAUGAACCAAGAAAUGUCAAGCAAUAUAGAACAAAAGAGAAGAAAAGCAUAGGUGCGACCAAGGCUCUGACUGCUACUCUCAAUUGCAACCAAAGCGAACAAUGCAAUUGCAAGAUUUAUAAGCGACACACCAUUGUAAGAUGCUCCAAGCGAUCCAAUUAACGCGCAUCCAAUCUUGCAUUUUAUUUUUUCCAAUAAACACAUUAAAAUCAUCAAAUAAAUAAAUAAAUCAUAAGAUAAGAAAAAUGUUAUUAUUAUUAUUAUUAUUAUUAUUAUAAUUAUACCUGUAUGUAAAUGAGGAUUACAGCGAAUGACUGAAGGCUAUCGUAAUCGCGUAUCCAUGGUUGUAUUCGAUCUCUCAAAUUGCAACAACAACAGCAACAAAGCAUCAUAAAUAAUAUUUACUGUGUGUGUGCGCGCGUGUGUGGUUUUUUAAGAUUAAAAAUCAAUCGGAAUGCAUCGUCGUCGUUGUUGUUAUCGGUGAGGUUUUCUUAGAAACAAGAACGUUGUGUUGUGUUGUGUUGUGUCGUUUGCAGAGUUUCUUUUUUUUCUUCUGUGUUGUUUGUUCUUGCUGGCGAGUGAUGAGCAAUUGCCAAUUUUGCAGCAGAGAGGUAUUAAAAAUUGCAACUUGUGUUGUGUUGUGUGUGUUUUGUUUUCUAACCCUUUCUUUCUUUCUUUCUUUCUUUCUNNNNNNNNNNNNNNNNNNNNNNNNNNNNNNNNNNNNNNNNNNNNNNNNNNNNNNNNNNNNNNNNNNNNNNNNNNNNNNNNNNNNNNNNNNNNNNNNNNNNNNNNNNNNNNNNNNNNNNNNNNNNNNNNNNNNNNNNNNNNNNNNNNNNNNNNNNNNNNNNNNNNNNNNNNNNNNNNNNNNNNNNNNNNNNNNNNNNNNNNNNNNNNNNNNNNNNNNNNNNNNNNNNNNNNNNNNNNNNNNNNNNAAUCACAACUGGUAUAAUUGCCAUAGUGGUUGGAAAUAUUGUCUUCCACUAAAGGGUUGCGGGUUCGAAUCCUAGUCAAGACAAAAUUGUAUUAUUUUUUAAUAAAAAUUGCAAGAUAAAAUGGAGGGAAAACAAAUUAGGGUUUAGGGUUUGCUUGUGUAUACAAGCUUAUAAUAUAAAAGAUGAUGUGUUGCCUUGUCUGUGAUAAAAAAGUCAUGUUAAAAUGUGUCCUUAAGUAUAAUUUAAAUAGUGAUAAUGUCUUGAAUAAAAUAAUGUUUGACUUUUAAAAAGAUAAAAUGCACACUUUUCAAUAUAAAGUUAGUAUCUAUAGACACUAAUAAGUGCCUCAAGGACACAUGAUAGCUUUUCUCAAAAAAUAAUAAUGAUGUGUUGCUGUCACCUAUAUGAUGAUUGAUUAUGGGAUUGAAAUCUCACGUAUAAAUUAAUUUUUGAAUUUGACCUGAGACACACAUAUUAAGUAUCUAUUGUCGAGCUUGAAAAUAAGUUGUGGAAUUGGGUAAUAGCUUUAACUCAUCCUCAUCAUAAUAAAUGAUAGACAAAUGUUAACAUGUGCAUCUAAGGCACAUGUUAAGAAUAUAAAUAUAGAAAUAUUCUCUCGAAACAUGUGCAUUAUAUCUUUUAAGCAUUAAAUUUAUUUGUAAUAUUAAAUGCAAAUUUCUAAUUAUAGAUACAUUAACAUGUGCCAUGUAUACACAUGUUAACAACACCCUAAAUGAUAUUCUUGUCCAUAAAUGACCUUUGACAAUAGGGAAAUGCCAAUUCAUUGAACUUUUUGAGACGAUCAAAUAAAAAAUUCUGAGGGCGCCAUAUUCUAGAAGAGUAAAUAUAGUGAGUUAGGAUCUUCUCUAUUUUCAAUUAUUUUCAUUUCUUCCAUUAUUAUAUAGUUUUAAGAAUAUAAAUGCAAAAGUGUGACAUUAAGUGAGUCUAGAUAUCUUUUGUACACCUGAUGACAGCCAAUCAUUUAGUUUACUAUAAUAUUUAAAAACUUUGGUAAUGGAAGAAAUGAAAAUAAUAGGAAAUGGAGAGGAUCCCAACUCAAAUAUAGUGGACAAAUAUUUUAAAAAAAUUUCUUUGGUUGAUUCUUACGGAUCAAAGAUUGAUUGAUUACCUCUUGUAAUGGAUAACCAUUGAUAGUCGAAAUAGAGAUGGAUCACCAGAAUUUUACGAACGACAACGCCUCUAUUCAGUCCAUACAAAUAGAAUCAUUUCGGUCAAAAUUGUCAACUAUGAUCAAAUGAAAGUUUAGGGAGAGAAAACAUAAUGUUCUGGACUGGACUAAAGCUCUAUACAUUGAAGCCCAAAGGCGCAAAGAUCCAAUAUAUGUUGCUAAGCAUGAGAUAAUUACUCAAGGGAAGGACAACCACAUUCUAUAUAGCACAUAGCAUCGACCAAUGAGAAUUCAACAUUAUGCGUACGAAAAUUAUCUCUCCUAAACGAUACAAUUGUAAAAACAACAUUUACUAUCAAUAAAUUUAGGGUUAAAUAGUGUUAACCCUUACAAUAUGAGCGUAUAUCGGUUAAUCCUAUGUAAUAUUUUUUCUUAUCCCCCUUAAUAACAUGAAAAUUCCAUCAUUUAGGACCUUCGUUGAACAAGUUGGACUAUGACUAGACAAGUCUAGACAAGUCUGAUAAUGUUACUAUCUAACCAUAAGUAAUUAACGUUUAUAAAUUUGAGAGGCCAAAAUUGCAAUAUUUAAACUUCAGAUGCCGAAAUCGUCGGAUUGUAAAACUUGAAGAGACAAAAAGUAUUAGGAUCGUUUAAUUUGACGGGUUCAGUUUUGCAAUUUAAGAUAUCAGGGUACAAAAUGCUAUUGUUAAACUUGAGGGUCGAAAGUACAAUUUAGUGAAAAUAGAAUAAAAUCAUACAAAACACGGUUGAGCAUAUAUCAAACCGGGACGGAACAGUGACCGAGAGCAUCAGAAAAUGGCAGAGACAGAUUCGUCGUCUUCCUCCAACGCAGAAGAAGUAGUGUCCUCCUCACCGGCAUCGGCCUCCGCAUCGCUGGUAUCGAUGGCUGAGAAUUUUCAGCGUUCUGCAAUUGAAUCUGCUCGUACUGUUCAACACACCUCUUCCACCCAAUUUCGCACCUUUCAGGUUUCUCUCUUUUUCCCGAUUCUACCUAUUCGUUUCGCCAUAGGAAACAUAUAUAAGAUCAUAUAGCUUUUAUUUUUCAUAUUUCAUUCAUCUGCUUUUAAAUUGGUAUGAAAUGUUAAUUCCCAAUGUGGCAACACCAAUAGAGAGGGUUUCGUUUCCGUUCCCCGAUUCUUCAUAAGAUUCUUAGAAAUUUUAGGCUGCAAUGCAAUGGCACCAUUGACUCAUGUAGUUAUGCACCUGCUCUGCUACUUUAUGGAUAUACUAAUAUAUGUACUAUCUCUAACACACACCCUUUAAACAAACAAUUAUCAACGAUGGAGGAACUCGUAUAAUAUAACCAACAAUAAAUUUGUCCAGGUGGUAAGAAAUUUGGGCCCCUUAAGUAGAUGGUUAGGAUUUUGAUCCUUGGCUCCCACAUAUAGAGAAAAUUGGUCUGGGUCCUCUGGGAGGGGAGAAUCCACCUUGUGUGCCCCACAAGUUCUCUGACGAAGAUUAGUCAUUGUUGAAUGACGGUGGAAUCUUCAUACCUAUAUCAAACACAAAUAUAUAUAUAUUGUUUGCAAUCUAUUGAUGCUUUGUGAUGGAAUAAUGUAUGCAAGUUGUUUUGUUGAUGCUGCAGCUGCAACUGCAAGCUUAUAUACUUCAUUUCUUUCUGGAUGAGUAAGAGUCAAAUAUUGUAGUGAACCAAUAAAAUUCAUAUUCCCUCUAGCUCUUCUACAACCUUAACUAAAUCGUCUUACUCUGGUGCAUUUGCUUUGCAGCAAUGCAUAUUAACUCACAAGAAGCAUAUUCUGACUAGACAGUUUUUGGUCUCCUAUAAUCUGUCACAUAUAAGAAUCUACCAGUAUCACCACUAAAUUUAUCGUCACUGAUCAUCACUAUUAUUACCUCCUUUGGCAUUUUCAAUACCAUCACUGCCACUACCAACAUUAUGUUAGGGGACCCCAAUCACUAGUUAAUUAGAGAGAGGGAGAGAGAGAGGGAAUAAUAGUUUAUAUAUAAGAGGAAAGAUGUGGGAGAGCAUUCGGUUAAGUGAGUGUUUUGGGGACUUUGGGUGGGGAGGACUGUGGAGCAAAUCCUUGACGUUCUACAAUAUGCUGAUCUCUUUAAUUAGGGAGUUUAUCCCCAUUUCAUAGAAUUAUAUACAUUAUUUCUACCAACUGAUAUUGGCGCUGUGGGAAAUCAUCUUGAGGAUGAUUAAAAUGUUUGAUGUUUUGAUGAAGAGGAUGCUUACUGGCGGCGGCUUAUCAAAUGUGGAGCAGUAUUUUGAGGGCACUGGAAUACUUGGAGGGUAUAAUAUAUCAAGUUCAAGAGCUGGAAGGUUGUAAGGAGUGGUGCUAUCUAUUGGUGGUUUUGCUAGAAAUGGGGCAACCAAACUACGAUGUGGUGGACUUUGGAGAUUGCUCAAGCGAUUCCUAUGUGAAUAUGACACAAAUAUACCGGUGCCUGUUUGGGACGAGGGAACAGAAAGUGAAUUGUAAUUAGAAUCAUUAACAUUUCAAGAUGGGAAUAAAGAAUCAGCUGCUAAGAGGCCAGAAGUAUCUAUAGAAAAGGAACACGAACCAUGGGAGCUAGAAAUCUUGGAACCAGAGAGUCAAAGACAACCCAGAUUUGGAGGGCACAAAAGCAACCAAUCCACAGUUUGGAUCAAGAAGCAGUAAAAAAACCCCAAGAUGAAGCCAUGUAGAGGGUAAACAAAAACCAUUAUGGUGGAGAAACACCAAAGAAUGACCGAAGGGCCAAUUAAAUGUGGAUGGAAUUGGAAACCCACUCCCUAUACUACACGAUGACUGUUGUUUUAGGGACAUACAACUCCAAAAACAUGUAAGAGAUUUUUCCGCAGAGAAAAGAACAAAAAAUAGGGGAGAAGAGGAGUUGCACGAUAUAUUGUGAUUUGUGACCGAAUAGAACCUUAAGAAGGUUUGGGUAUUUUCCGAACCGCUAAGGGUGCCUAGCCAGCCUGCCACCACUGCCAAAACAAAAAAACUAGAAUUAUAUUUCUCGUUUCUUUGUAUAUUUAUACAUAAAAAGGUUUGAUCUAAUUAUGGUUGAGAGCAAGUUAGAAUUGAUAUUAUAAUUCUAUACACGACUUUCACUUUUGUUAUCCAAAUAGAGCAAUACACAUUUUACCAGAUUCAGUCCAGGAGCCUAAGAUAUACUAAGAUCAGAUUGGUUAAAAAAUAAUAUGUUGCAAUAUGUUUUUCAUAUCAGUUUCAUAUUUUAUUAUGAGAUGUUCUCAUAUAAAUUAACCUACUAAACCUGCCUGAAGUUAUGAAGCUUGAUUAGUUUGGGAUUGUUUUUCUUUUAGAUCAUAUACGGUUUGAUGCCAACAGCUAUUGAUAUAUAAUAAAAUAGUAUACGAAGUCAAAUUAUCUUAAAGAUUGAAGCAAAGUUAUUUUCAUGGUAUCUUUGAAAUAUUGUAAAUAAAUAUAAGGUACUAUUUUACAUUUCCUUUUUUUUUUUUAAUUAUUGGUGAGGUUCUUGCAUUAGCUUUCCUACUCGUUGUAGAAAAUAUUUUUUCUUCUAAUGGCCUAGCUUCUUUACAUACUCUUAUUUUUUUUCUCUUUCCAUGUUCUUUGUCUUCUACUAAUACAGGAAAUUUUUGACCACGUGUAAUCCCUUUUCUAUCUCAAUAAAAUAUGAUUGCUCCAAAACUCAUCCAGAUUAUGUUUGAUUCUUUUGCAGAAUUUUUUACCAGAAGCAGUGUCACAUUAUAGAACUUAUGAAGAUGCUUUCGUCAAUAAAGUUAAAGGUGAUUACAAUUUAAACAGUUUCAAACUUAUGAACGGUAGAUUUGUUCUUAAACUUUGAAGCACAUUGUAAUGGUUUGGCAAAAAUAAGGUUGAACUUUUGUGGCCUUGUGUAAUGUAUGCAUUUAUUUUAAAAUUUGGUUGGAGCAAAAUGCUUGCAUAGGGUUAUGUUUAUGGCCUCUAUUUGGUGUUCAGACUAAAGUUGUUUAUUCAAUGUUUUUUUUUUACACUUAUGAUAUGCGAAAAGAUCACACAGCUUGCUGUAUUUUGAAUGUUUCAUGGUUUGCACUCUACUUACUAAAGACUAGAAUUUGGAGGAUAUCUUUAAUUUGAAAAAUCAUUGUAUUUCCUGGGUUGUGACUUGUGGGUGAUUUUUAUUUAUCUAGAAUCAUAAUCAAUUUAUGAUCUUAACACUUUUACAGAUGGACUGAUGGUAGCAAGGGAGAACCCGGCUAUAGGUGUUGGUUUUGCUGUUUCUGCUGCCCUUCUUGUUAUGAGAGGUAUUUUCCCAUCUUUUGCACAGACAAGUAAUAAGUUUUCCUACACUAUACCACUUAAAAGUUUUUCUUAAAAUGUUCAAUUAACUACUUUUGUAUCUUUAACUUUAUAUUGUCACAAGGUAUUAUAUUGUCGCCAGUGUGGGGAAACUAAUGCAGGAUCAAUUGCUUAUUUCCUUCCUUUUUUGUCUUUUUUGUAGUUUCUAUUUUAUUAAGUAGUCACAUGACUAGCACCUGUCCUUUAAAGGACUCCAUGGCCAAGUUUGAUUUCAUAUAACUUGGAUUGGACUCGGUAAAUACAGUAAUACAGUUAACCUUGUAUAAUAGCCCCUGGAAAUUGUAUUCAGCUUUCAUACAAUAUAUACUCCAAACUUUUAACCAUGAUCUCAUUCUAUUAAGAAGCUGCUGUUUAUCCGCUCCUUUCAUUGCAUCAAGUAAUAUUAAAACCACGGCGAGGCUUAUCGGCUUAGAGUAGAAUUAGAUUUGUUGUGAUGUACUGUUAGAACUGAAGAGACUGAACAAUUAGUUAGGGAUAGUUAUAUAUAGUAGUUAGCAAGUUAGCAGGGGGAAUAAGAUCCAUAAUAAUAAAUAGAGGGAUACAAGGGUAGAGGGAUCAUCGAGAUAUGUUAGCAUUGAGUUCACACAUCUGUGGCUCAGUUGUAAGGAACCAUUGGAGGAGAAAUCUUUUGCCAAGUUCUAAGUGUCAAACAGUAAAAUCAAUUUUUUUUCUUUUUUCUAUCUUCCACUGUGGGUUCCUAACACAUUGUUGAAGAUUUGUAAUGUUUAAACAUGCUUUGAAGCAAUAAGCAUCGUGAGGAGGGAACCUGUAUAAAAAAUAAGAAGGCAGCCUCAACCUUGUAGGCAAUUUGCAAAGUAGUCCUAAGCAAGAUAGCAUAGUAGAAAGGACUUCUCCACUGAUCUAUGAUAUCCAGAUGAAACAUGGAUCCUCAAAAGGAACCUGAUUAACCACAUCAAUAUUUCAACCAAUAAAUGCAUUUUUCAUUGGUCCAAUCAAGAAAUCACUCUACAAGUGGAAGAUAACAUGCCAGAUCAAUGGUUCCGAUUUUUUUUCCUUCAUAAUAUAAAAUUUUAAGGGGAGAAUACAAAUUUUUGGAUCCAUACCUUUACGAUUUUUCUAAGUUAGAAAAUAUUGAUUUUACUUUAUUCAGUCAGAUAUGCUCCAUUCAAUACUUCCAACAUUUGAUUGAUCAAGCUAGUUAGUUAAUUUAAUGAUGUGUGUGGAAAGGAUCCUAAUUUCUCCAAAUUCAGGGGACAAGUCUGGAAAUAAUUUUAAGGUUUUCAAAUAUUCAGUUUUCACGAUUAAAUAUGUAACUUAUCAAUUUUUCAGUAAAUAUUUAAUUUUGGAGUGGACGAUUUAAUGAUUGAGCUGAAAACUCUAGGAAGACCUAUUAAAACUUAAGAAUAGUGGAAUCUUCCAGUUGCAGAGGUUGGUGGUUCUCCAUACUUUCCACAUGAAGUUUGCCUCCCGGAAUCUAAAUUUUCUAAUAAAAAAAGCUUUAGAAUAUACCAUUAUAAAAUACCUUGCUCAAUGCUCAAAUUGGUAUCUGAUAUAGCCCAAUGACAUUGAUCGAUUCAUGCUACUGAUCCCACUUGGUAAGAUAUAACCUAUUGCUGUGUUUUUUUUUUGAAGGCAUAACUUGACUGUUGUUGUUAAUGCAUAUCUUAGGCAAUGUGAUCAUCCACGACUUUUGUACUAUAAUAUUGCAUAUGAUUCAAACCAGUUUUAUCUAGUGCUGUUUUCUGUGUCUCAUCAAGUCAACUGAAUUUGUAAUUGUCAUGUAUGCUAUUUUAUUUUAAAGUGCUUAACCUUCUUGCAGCUCCAAGAAGAUUUCUGUUUCGCAACACAUUGGGUCGAUUCCAGAGUGAGGAGGUAAUAUUCAGUUGACCAAUCAAGAUGGAUCCCUAACUUAUGUCCUUACUUCUCCUCUCUAUUUGUGAUGCAUAAAUCAUAAUAUGCUUUUUCCUUAUAUUGUAGCUUAAUAUUUAGGACAUUCUAUCUUGAGAUCUUAGACAGUUGUGUCUUUUUUUGACAAAUAGACAGUUGUGUCUUAAAUGUUGUAAUAUUUCAUAUUCUGUUUGUUUCACCUUUUUUCAUGAAUACCCAUGAAGACACGGUAUGCAAGUGCUGAGAAGAAUGUGAAGAACUUGAACCUUUCAGUAGAUUUGCUAAAAAAGGAGAGCAUAAAAUUGCUUCAAAGGACAUCUCUUGCGGAGAAGGAAAUGAAAUAUGGGCAUAAUGAACUAAUGUAUGUAUUAUUAAUCAAGGAAAGGAUGUUUGGGUUAUUUGAUUACAGCUAAAGUAUGCCUGAAUGUUUUACUCCAAUGAUGAAUAGGAACACUGGAGCCCAAUUACAACGACUGGCAAAAUCAUCAUACAAGGUUGAAGCCAGAGCUACAGGUACGCUGUAUAAAAAAAAAAUUAACAAUUAAGUUCAUGUCUUCUUUUGUGUUACUCCCUCCGGACACAAUUAUAAGCAAAAUUCAAUUUUUAGGUUCAUUGAAAAAGUAAUGUAUUUAGUCAAUAAUAUAAGACCAGAUUAAUUACUUUUUCAAUGAAUCUAAAAAGUGUUUUUUGCUUAUAAUUGUGUCCGGAGGGAGUACGUUUUUUGUUUCGGAAAAAAAGAAGUUUUUAUGAAUAUUUUGACCCUUUCAUAUUUACUUUGAGGAUGUGUGAUGAUAUCCACUGCCGCUUUAAAAUUUACCCUCUAUUAUCAUGCUGUAGAUUUAAUAGACAGGCUGCGCGAUAUACCUAGCCGUGAAGCUCUGGCACUUCGAGCUGAGGCAAGUCUAUGACUUUCUAUUCUUUGUUUUCCAUAAGCGCAGUUGUUUUGCAUUACUUACUGUUUUCUGUCCACCACGAAUACAUGACUAGGUUGCCUCUUUGGCUUCAAACUUGAAGCGACAGAGAUCUGUGCUGGACAAACGGAUAAUGAAGAUCUCUGAGUUGGGGAUUUCUGUGUGAAUCAGUGGACAAGUUUUGAUCCUUCCCUUAAUGCACACCUGCGUCAAUCAUCUCAUUUUAUUUGGAUAAAUUGUCCCGAGGUGGAUAGCUUUACUUAUGAUGCAGAUCCAUCCAUUGGGGCAUCUAUUUUUUGGUUUGGUCAAUUGAAUGAAUAGGUAGAUGGGGCCUUAAUAAAAAGGUGUGAUUGAAAAUUUAUCUUUAGAUAUUACAGCUUUAAAGAAGUUCAUAUUGAAAGUGACCUAUGUUUGUUCAAUUUAUAAGCAACAACAAUUGUGUGUGGAAACAUCAUUAUAGGUGGUCUAUGAGAGAUCACAUUUUAAUUUUGUUUGGUCUGUUAAGUGUUGCAAGUAUAUCAGAUUUUAUAAUGCAUUGUGUGUGUAAAAUUUUCCCCAUUUUCUUUCAACUUUCUCUUCUCCUUCAUUCUCUAUACUACAGAUGCCACAAGUGAAGUUAGUGAGGAGCACACAUCUUCAACAGUGGUCAUCACCGAUGCCGGCUACCCAAAACUAGCAAAAUAAUAUACUCAUAAAAGAUUUCCCCAACUCAAAACCAAUGCCCUAAUUUUCUAAAGACCCAACAACAGUUACAUAUACCCUAGAUAGUUUGUUUCCAGCUAUGUUUGUGAAAUGUUGUUCCUUCCCAUGAUUAAGAUUGAUUUAACUUGUUAAAUGUUGUUCCUUCUCUAAUUCUAUGUUAGUUGGUUGCUUUGUCUUCUCUCUGCUCUUUAGUGGCAACAAUGGUGGUGGUGGUGGUUGUGAUCUUUGCUUAUGUCGUACACUGCUGAGCUGAGAGGUAUUGUUGAACUGAUGGCAUUAGGGUCUUUGUUUCUACAAGGAAAAUUACAUAUUUUUGGAGCUUGGUAAUGGGUGAAUGAAGUCAUUCACAUAUUCCUCUUCUAAUAGUGGUGGGUGGUGAGGCUUCUUGGAUUGAAUUUGAUUUGGUGAGACUUAUAAUUUUUCUUAAUAUCUUUUAGAGCAAUAGCUAAAGUAGCUCCUAAUACUACGGUUAUUAUACCAAUCAAAGCUAUUCCACCCAUUAUGGAGGGUAUAACUAUGAAAAGAGGNNNNNNNNNNNNNNNNNNNNNNNNNNNNNNNNNNNNNNNNNNNNNNNNNNNNNNNNNNNNNNNNNNNNNNNNNNNNNNNNNNNNNNNNNNNNNNNNNNNNNNNNNNNNNNNNNNNNNNNNNNNNNNNNNNNNNNNNNNNNNNNNNNNNNNNNNNNNNNNNNNNNNNNNNNNCAAAGCUAUUCCACCCAUUAUGGAGGGUAUAACUAUGAAAAGAGGAAGAAGUCGGGCUACAAGAAAAAUUCUCGCUGCUACCAUAGUAGCAACAUGUAUAAGAGCAAAAAUAGGAGUAGGACCUUCCAUAGCAUCAGGUAACCAUACAUGAAGAGGGAAUUGGGCAGAUUUCGCAACUGAUCCGCAAAAUAACAAGAGGGCAGUGGUGAGGGAUUUAGAUAGAAUGCAUGAUGCGAUAGGUUUGAUCAUCACGGGCUCCACUAUAAAAAAAGAAUAUAAUUGUUGUAAAUUGUAAUCCUACUUUCUGUCGAUGAUACUACUUUCUAGAAUAGGUUUCGUAGUUUUUUUUUGGUUUAACUACAUAUUUGGUCCCUUACGUUUAUUUUAGGUUUCAAUUUGGUCCCUUACGUUUAAAAAGUAUCAAUUUGGUCCCUUACGUUUAUUUUAGGUUUCAAGUUAGUCCUUUCCGUUAGUUUUGUCANNNNNNNNNNNNGACAAAAUUGACGGAAAGGACUAACUUGAAACCUAAAAUAAACGUAAGGGACCAAAUUGAUACUUUUUAAACGUAAGAGACCAAAUUGAAACCUAAAAUAAACGUAAGGGACCAAAUGUGUAGUUAAGCCUUUUUUUCUUCUUCUUUAGAUUGACAAAUUUUUCCACGUAAAAACUAUUGGUAUGAUUCUUCUUCGCUAUAGUUAUAAAACUAAUAUAGUUUGUAUUAUUCUCUUUCAGGUAUGUUUUCUAUUACGAUGCGAGUCUUAUUUAUAGGAAAAUACAAUGGACCAAUACUAAUGGACAUCAACUAAAAUAUUCAUAACACUUCUCUUUGUUCUAGUAAUCUUUCUCUUCAUGAGUGUUACUCUUACAAAUUUUGCACCAUUCAUUUGAUGCUCCUUCAUGCCAUCUUCCGCCAUUCAUGCCUCUUUUCUUCGUGAGUUUCUUCCUCUACCAUCACCUCUUCCAAAUCUGCCACCUCUUGAAGACNNNNNNNNNAUGUUGAGUUUAGAUUGAAAGACACUCUCAACUGAUAUUUUAGAGCGCCAUAACAACCUUUGCUCGUAGGAUCUCAAAGACCCCAUCAAAACCCUUGAACAUACAUAAUUGAUAGGUCCUUAGUUUUCUCUAUAACAGCCACCAUAUGAUCAAAUUUUUCUGCCAAACUGAUCAGAAUUUUAUCAAUAAUUUUGUGAUCAUCUAUUGUUUCUCCAUGUGACUUCAUUUGAUUCACCAAUUUAAAGAGUUUAUUAAAGUAUUCAUUCAAACUCUCGUUCUCCUCCAUUCUUUCAUUUUCAUAGUCCCUCAUAAGAGAUUGAAAUUUCAAAGUGACAGUUUACUCAUGUAACUCUUCACUUUCAUUACCUUAUCAUAUUCCACUAACGUGAAAUCAACACAAUGAUCAACACUUAUAAAUAAUACAUAUAAGCUUAUUUUACAUAAGCUAGAUUAUUUUGCGACCUUAUUUAAAUAAGGUAAUAAUGCCGACGAGGAUGUGACUCAUCCUCUUGCAUAGGCUUGUUACAGAUGAUGAUAAUCAAAGCUUGACCAAAGGUUUUGUGAUCGAUGAAUUUAGAGAAGCAUUGUUUAAUACUCAUUUAGACAAAGCACCAGGACCAAAUGAGUUGAAUCUAGCGUUCUAUAAAAGAUUUUGGGAAUUACGUGGAAAAGAAGAUUAUCAGACAAGAAUGUAGUGGCUUCAAAGAGGAAGUUUUUGACUUUAGACCGAAAUCUUUGUGUAACGUGCUCUACAAAAUCAUAUCCAGUGUGUUGGCGAAUAGGCACAAACCUCUCCUUAACCGGUAUAUUUCUGUUGAAUAAUAUGCUUUUCUGGUUGAUAGGUCUAUUUUUGAUAAUCUUAUGGAGACCAUUCAUCAUAUGAAAUAUAAAGUGAGAGGGAAACUAGGCAAAGCAGUUAAGCUUUGAAAAUAGAUAUUAGCAAGUCAUAUGAUAUAGUUUAUUUUUUAAGGAAGUCAUAUGAUAGAGUUGAACGAAGUCAUAAGGAUAAAUUGUUUAAUAUUUUCCUUUUUAUUAUUAUUCACCUUGUAUUGAAAGUACUAUUAUGAAUAAAAUGCACUAAAUUUGUUUGAAAAAAAAAAAAAACUUGCAAAACAGAUUAUUCCUAGUCAAGGAAUGAAGCCGAGCUAACACAUAAAAUAUACUGAAUUAAAUAUGUAGUAGAUAUAUUCAUAAAAGAAUUUAAUUUAUACAUACCGUCGGUUACACAUGCGAUUAAUAAUAUACCAAUAGUCCAACACAUCAUGUAUUGUUUUUAAAAAGAAUUUAAUUUAUAUGCACCGUCGGUGUAAAGUUAUUUUGCACAUGCGUCCAAUAAAAAAUCGACACAUCAUGUAUGGUCAUUAAAAACACAUGAUUUGUCACAUUCAUUAAAUGACGUGGCAACGCGUCAUUGAAUGUAUGUGUAAAAAUAAUUUACACCGACGGUGCACAACAAUUAAACUCUUUUAAAAACAUAUGAUAUGUCACAUUCAUUAAAUGAUGCGGCAACACAUCAUUGGAUGCAUGUGAAAAAAAUCUUUACACUGACGGUGCACAACAAUUAAACUCUUCAUAAAAUAUAUUGAAUUAAAUAAAUUAUAUUCCUGUACCAAAAAAAAUAUUAUAUUCCUAUAUAAGUUGUUGCAACCGGGAAAUCUAAGAAAUCAAUUGAAAUAUAAUUUUCAUAAUAAUAAGUUUCAAACAUAAUUUUUUAUUUACCAACACUUAUAAUCAAAUAUAAAUUUUAUUAUUGGAAAUGCAAAUCUUAUAUUUUGACAACUAUUUAGCUGGUUUCAAGAAGUUCUUGAACCAUUGAACAGAUUGUUUUGGGUAUCUCUUCAAGUUGUCUCUGUAGUCAACAAAAUACAGACCAAAUCUAGAAGAGUAUCCAGCUGCCCACUCCCAAUUAUCCAGCAAUGACCAAGCAAAGUAUCCUUUCACAUUGCAACCAUCUCUGCAAUUAGCCAAAUCAAUAAUAAUAAUUCAUUAACUUAAAAUCUAUUGGUCAUGGACUUUAAUGCACUAAUUAAUACUAGGUAAUAACAAUAUUACAUACUUGAUAGCUGCCUGUAGAUUGGAUAAAUAGCCACUGUAAUAUCUAAUCCGUUUCUCAUCUUUCAAAGCAUCUUUCUUUGAGAUAAAUAUACUAUUUGGAUCAUCCAUCCCUGUCAAAACCACCACCAAGAACAUUUAGCUUGCAAUUUUUAUUAUUUACAGCCGUAUUUUUUUUUACCACCAGUAUCCGUCCCUUUGACCUAAUAUGUUAUACUUUAUCAUGAACACGGAGUAAUAUCAACUAUGUAAUUUAUGGAAGACUUCAAUUUAUAAAUGCAAGCUGGAAUUUUGCGAUAUAUUAUAAGAAUUUGAAGAUUACCGUUUUCGGUGAUAAAGACAGGAGGGUUCCCAUACUUUUGUUUGACAUAGUUCAUUAAGGUUCUCAUACUUUGUGGCACAAUAUACAACCAUAUAGAAUUUGCCUGCAAAAAGUCAGAAUUAUAGAUUUAGUGAAAUUAGUAUUUCCAUUAGCUAUAUAUUGAGGUAUAUAUAAGACUUAGUAGUUCUGUUUAUGUGAUUAAUGAAAGGAGAAAUGAUUGUGAUUGGACAUGAUAUUUAAGGACAAGAAAUAAUGCUUCAAUUAUAUCGAACUUACCCUUUCUGCAAUAGCUUUAGUACCAUUGAAUGCUGAGAAAGAAAGGAAAGGAAGAAAUCACUUGGUGGCAAUGCAAAACAGAAAAUUAUAAAGCACUAUGAUAAAGUAAAUGUUAGCUUGAUAAUGUUUGGUUUGGUCUGAAACUUACGAAGGGUAAUGGCACCGGAAUCUGCAAUAGAGUCAUGGAGCAAAGUUCCAAUCACAUUAGUAGAAUUGUUUCUUGCAUAAAAUGUGGUGUAAUGAUUAAUUCCAACAAAAUCUAAUGAACCCUUAACAAGAGCAGCCUCAGAUGGAGUAAAUUUUGGCAGCCUGUUUCCUACUCUGCUUCUCAUUGAACUUGGAUAAUCUCCAAACAUCAAAGGAUCAAGAAACCUAUCAUUAAGACAUUUAGCAAUUAAUAUUGAGUUAUUAUCACUUUCUUAAUCCUUAAUUUCAAAUGUAAUCAAAAUGUAAGUAGUGUUUUUGUUAAUGAUCUAUGAGGUACCAUAUGUGAAUGACUUACCAACCGAGCUGAAAAUCUUGAGCUCUCUGAGCAGCUUCAAUAUCAUCUUGAGUGUUUGUGCGGGGCUCAUACCAAAUGACAUCAAAAGCUAUCCCAAGUGAUCCACCUUGUGUAUUCUGUCGAAUAACCGAGUUAUUACUAUUAGUAGCAUUUUCGCAAACAAUUUUCUACAAAUAUCAAGUUGAAUUUUCACAAUGUUCUGCCUAGUUAUGAAUAUUCUUCAUUCCAUUGCAUUCAUAAUAGAAUUCAAAAAAUCCAAAACUUUACCUUAUAUUUUUUCCUAUAAAUAUCUGCUACUGCUGCAUGAGUAAGUAGGACAUUGUGAGCAACAAUGUAAGGUUCGGUAGCAGAGUUCCCUGCCCUACAAAACAGGUGAAGGAGAAUAGAGCACCGUCCGGGUGCCUGUAAUCCGACAUCAUAUCCUUGUGUAGUAAAUGUAUGUGGCUCGUUAAAUGUGAUCCAGUGCUUCACCCUGUCCCCAAAUUUCUGAAAGCAAGUCUCGGCAUAAGUUGCAAAGUCCUUUCUGUAGCACACAUGAAUCGUAUAUAAGUAUUUUUUUUUUCUUUCUGCAUAUCAAGAAUCAUAAGAAUACUGAAAAUCACGUCUAAAAUUAUUUGCAACGUUUCUCAUACAUGAUAUCAGUGCUGAGCCAUCCCUUGUACUUGUCUUCCAAGGCUUGAGGUAGGUCCCAAUGGUAGAGUGUUACAUAAGGUUCAAUUCCUGGAAAUUUAAGGAUCAAGCAAUCAGAAACAUGCAUAACAAUACAUAGAUUGAGCUUUUUUAAGUUCAAAGCUAAAAUACAGAAUUGAUCAAAUGAAAUAAUUAAACCAGGGUUAACGAGAGUUACCAUUCGCCAAUAAUGCAUUUAUGAAUUUAUUAUAGUGAUCAAUUCCUGCCUGAUUGAUUGCGCCGGAUCCAUCUAACACAUUAAAUAUUUAUGGUUUCAGAUAAUCUAAGAAAUUAUGAACAAAAAUAUUGAAACUUUAUGUUUAUGGUUUCACAGAAUUGUACAGUGUGUUAAACCGAGUACUAAUUUUGAAGUUAAUGAUGAGUAUGAAUGUUGCUUACUGGGAAAAAUUCGAGACCAAGAAAUGGAAAAUCUAUAGGCAUCCAUCCCCAAGUCCUUCAUGAGUUGUAUGUCUUCCUGCUUAAUAAAAAAUUUCAAUGUUCAAAUACAAACAUCCUUUCACCAAUCGUUAAUGCAAUAGUUAAAUUGUAUGUAUUGCAGCUUAGUUUAUUUCAGUAAAACCUAACUUGUGUUUAUUUCAGUGUGGAUAAUGUGGCAUUAUCAUAUAUAUAUAUAUAUACACGAGAUUCGGUGAUGAUUCCAUAAAACCUGACUUGUGUUUGUGUCUGCAUAAUCUCUAAAUUGCUUUAUUUGAACUUAUCUACUGCCCUAGUACUUUUAAUAUUGUUUGAAAGAACUUAUGAAAACAACUUAUAAAUAACAUAUCCAUAAGUUAGCUUCAGCGCAUUUCCAUAAGCUUUUCAGGUUAGUUUAUGAAAACAGUUUUUAGUUUAUCUGAAAACGGUUUGGACUUUAUUUUAUAUUUUAUUAUAGAAAUUGUUUAUUCAUAAGCAUUUAUAUAAUAUUAAUUAGGUUGUUUAUCCAAACAGAACCGAUGAUGCAGACUCGCAUGGCAUAGACUGAAUUGUAUUAGUUACUUACUUCAUAUCGGUGGUACUGAUCUACUGCAACAUCAGCAUUGCUGAAAUCUGUUACCUUGCCUGUAACAAAAUGUGAGGUGAUGAUCAGCCAGAAUUUUAGCAUAUUAUAAGAAUCAUGCAUAUGUAGCAUUUGAGAUACAUGUAGGAAUAAUACUUAUUGUCUCCGUGAGCUUAACUCAGUUGACAAAGAAAUCACAUUGUAUGAGCAGGAGUCGGGGUUCGAACCCCAGACACUCCAAUUAUUCACUUUAAGAUAAAUUUUAUAACCACUAGGUUACUUACAAAAAAAUAAUACUUAUUAAACUCAUCCUUAAAAAAAAAUUAUUAAACACCUAUAUGAACAAAAUAGUACUACUAUGCAAUAAAUACCCAAUGGAAUGCGCCUUACCAAAAGUAUGAGAAAAGGUAUCCCAUACAGAUGGUCCCCUUCCAUCUUCUUUCACUGCUCCUUCAUACUAGACAAAAGUUACAUCAUAUAAUAUAUGAAUAAAUAUUAAAUAUACAUUUACCAAAACAAAUAUAUUAAAUAUACAUCACUUGUUCAAAAAGAUAGAUCGAAACAUAGAAGUCAAACAACAUUUACCUUUUUAAAAAAGCCAAAUUCAUUAGUUAAAAAUAGUAAUAGUGAUAGGUACAAGUAAUGCCAAAAAGGAAACUGCAGAAAUAAUUAGUUAAAAAACACUACCACUUUUGGUUUCAACGUUCAACUCCACCGCUUCUUAACACACCCCACAAUUUCCUAAGAAUUUAAUGCUAUUCAAUGUUGGUCCAAAUCUACUACUCCUACUCUACUAGUUUUUAAUGUUAUUUUUUUUUUGGUAACAAGUUUUUAAUGUUAUUACUUGCUCAUUAUAAGAAGAAAAAAAAUAUUAUAUUUAUUAAAAAAAUUAAAUAUAAUAAUUUGAAGUAUAAUUUUUUGUGUUUUUUUUAAAUAAGUUACAUGGAAAUUUAUAAAAAUAAUUUUUAUCAAUUCUUGAAAAUGAUGAAAGUUGUCGUUUUGCUUAUAAUUUAGGAUAAAAAAGAUAAUUUAUUUUUGCUUAUAAAUUUUAUAUCUUAAGCACAAAUAUUCUCAAUAAAAAAUUAUUGAAUAAUACGUCUCAAAAUAAAAAAUUAAGAUAUGAACACAAGACAAUUGUUUUAAUUAGCAUUUAAUUAAUAUAAUGAGAAAAUCAUAAAAAGUGACAAUAGUAAAUGACAAAUUUAUUUAGCCACUAGGUUUGGUCUAAUGGUGAGGGAUUUUGGUAGUAUGCUCUAAGUCAUAGGUUCCAUUCCCAGCUCGUUAUAAACAAAAAAAAAUGACAAAUUUAUUUGGUUGGUAGAACGGUAGCGGAGCACAAUUAAUUACUCCAACGUGAAAUUUUGUUCUUCAUCAUUUCUUUCUCUUAAUAAUUAAGGAGUAAUUUUAAAAAGAAAAUGUACAUUAUUGACAAAUGUAAUGCAAGCGCUUUUGAGUCUUAUAUUUUAGAAUAGACACUACAAAUUAUCAUGCAUCAUAAUGACACUUGUUAAGAAGAUAAAUAUAGUUUGAUUCCUUCGUCUGUGUGUUACUUUGCCGCUCCGCCUUCCACCGCUUCUCUCCCUCCUCAGGGUGGCGCAACUGCCCCCUAGCCACUUCGUUUCCACUCUCUCUCCCCCUCUCAUCUCUCCCUCUUAAUAGAGUUUCUGAACCUAAAUCAAACCUUCCCACAUAAAAAUAUCAUUAUAAAUGAUUUUCUUUUUUUGUAAUAUUUUCUUCUCGUGAAUUUAUUAUUUAUAUCUUAAUUUCAUAAGCUAAUUCAACUAGUUUUAAAAUUUAUAUAUUUUUCUCUCAAAUUUACUAUCGUCAUCAUACUUACAAAAUUUAAAUAUAAAUUAAACAUAUAUUUCUUAUGUCAUUUCUAAUUUAUAAAUUAGUUUAAUCGAUAAUUUUACGUUCAAUCAAUUGAAACCUACCGUAUAAGUUAUUCGCGCUAUAAACUCAUUCAUUCGUUGCUAUCAACUAUAUUCUCUUUUGCCAAACUAACUCUUAGCUUUUACCAAAUCAAAGAAUAACCGUUGGAAAUAUCAUAAUUAAUAGCAAACUAUAUCAUAAUUAGAAAAAAAAAUCAAUUAUUUCCUUCACAUACUCAGUCAAUUGUAAUGGAUAAUCAUUGUCAUGGUUUAAAAAAAAAUACAAUCUUAAUGAAGCCACUCUGUGUUUGAUCUAUCGUUUUCAGGAACUCACAAACUAGGUAUACAAGUUUUCUAAAUAAAAAUUGAGAGUGGAUUAUUUUGUGACCUGAAACAGAGAGUAAAACAGUAUUGUAACUAACUAACUAACUAACCUGAAAUGCAGAAGAAGCAGUCCCAAAUAUAAAUCCAUGUGGAAAAUCAGCCCUGCUAAACUCCGCCGAUAGACAUAUCUGAAUCUCUACUGAUAAUAUUAUUAGAACAACAAUGCUUCUUCUCAACGCCAUUUAAUUUAAUUAUAGGUGUGUUGUGAAAUAGGACCUAUAAUUGAGGAGUGAGGAGUAUAUAUAUAUAUAGGAAUACGAAUGAAAUGGGAAACAACCGAAUAAGGGAGUGGGGAAUGGAAUAGAGUGUGAAUUGGGAGAGAGGAAUUAAUUGACGACAACGAAUUGAUGAAUGAAUAUAAUAAUUAAUUAAUUAAUGUAUGUAUGUAGCACUAAAAAUCAAAUCAAAACAAAAGAAACACGUUUGGGAAAGUGGCUUAGGUUGGUAGUAAACAUUUGCCUUCACAUUCACUCUUUUUUUAGAUAGAGAUAGAGAUAAUAUUGCACCGAUAAAUUAAAUACUGUGUUUGUCACCAAUCUUAGCGAGUUGCCUUCACAUUUGCCUUCCGAUUUCUUUUUUAUGUCUAUCUAUAAUCAACAUUCUAACUCAAGAAAUAUUGUAAGUACUUAUGUAAAUUGGUUAUAUAAAAGAAAAGAUUUUGAAAGAUAAUUCAAAUUAUAUUGUGAUAUAAGUCACUUGGCCCUCCGCACCACCCUCUAUCCAAAUCGACACAAUCCAGAUUGACGCAAAUAGUUUCAAAUUGUGCUGGUUUCGUUUAUGUUGGUAACAAUGUGUUGUUUUUAUGUCAGUGGUUGUGGUGGUGUUAGAUCUGUCCGGAUCCGCUUCACGGUGGCUCGUGGUGUGUGUUUCUACGAUAUGUUCUUCUUUCACCAAUUGCUGAUAAAACCUCAUUACCUAUCACUCAUGAAGCCGAUUUACAAUAAUUACGUAGCUUUGAUUCACGUUUGGGAAUACGUAGGACCAGUGAUCCUCCCUGUUGAGCUAAUCGCCGAUUAGGUCUCAGAACAUUAGUAAGAACAAAUAAUAUAAAAUAUUUAGGUUUAAAUGCAGUUUUGACCCCCAAGUUCUACAAUUGUGAAAUUUUGACCCUCAAGUUUCAAUUGCGCGAUUUUAACCCCUAUGUUUUACAAAAAUAUUCCUUUUCAAAAAAAAAAAAAUUUAAUCUUAAAGUUAAUGUAUUCAAUACUUUAAUUUUUUUUUAAUUUUUUUUUUCUAUUUUCUAUUUAUAAUUUUGAUAUUGUUUUGGGACAAUACAUUAAUUUUGAUUUCUAUUUUCUAUUUAAUAACUUCACAUUUGUUAAACAUAUCAAAAAUAGAAAUAAAAAAUAAAAUUAAUGUAUUUUUUUUACAAACAAAUAAAAUUAAUGUUUGUGAAGUAACUUUUUAUACUUUUAAGUUGUUAGAUGCACAAGUUAUAAAAUAAAAUUUCAUUGUUAGCUGGAACAUCAACCCGUGCGGUGCGCGGAUCUAAUUAGCCUAAUAUUAACAAAAUAAAAUAAGAUAUAAUAAAUGUAACAUUAACAAUUAGUUCAACAAUAAAUUUAGAAAAAUAUUCAUAUAGCAAAAAUUAUGGUAUAUUACGAAAUACUUCUUUUAUAGGCUACAUUGAAAGUCUUAUUUGUAUCUUCACCAUCUUCGUCGAUAAUCAAUAUUUUUAAUCCUUCUCUAGAAGUAACUCUUGAAAUCGCAACAUACAACUGACCAUGUAAAAACACUGGCGACGGAAGAUAUAUCCAUGCUUACUGUCCUUAACUCUUAUUAAUAGUCUUCGCAAAAGAAACGAUUAAAAGAAAUUGACUCCGUUGAAAUUUAAAAGGAAUUCAUACAUCAGAUGGUGUUAGAGACAAUCGACGUAUGAAAAUCUGAUCACAAACAUUACUUUUUGAAAUAAUUUUUCCUUCAAGAACACGUUUUUCCAGUCUUGUUCCGUUACAAAAUCCUAAUUUUUUUAUUCAAAUUUCUUAAUAGCAUAACUGAAACUCAAACUUUAAGUCUCAAACUUGUGAUUUGGAAGGCCAGACGAAUCCAACAACAUCAUAUAUGUUAAUCGACUGUGUGUCACUCAAUUUGAGACGGCCGGAGAAAGAGAUUAGUAGGUCCGGAUGACUACAAAAGAUACUCAUGCAACAAUGAUAGCAAUUGAGAGCAGUGAUUUGAACGGCGCUAAAUGAGUAAAUUACCGAUUCCCACAAGAAAUUGACUUGGAGAGAGGUGAAAUGAAAAAAAAUCCACUUACUCACUCACUUAACACUGAGCUGAUAUGGAUCUGCAAAUAGCCUCGUAGACAUCACAUCGGGAAUUACGUCCUUGUAGUUGUUGUUGUUGUAGCUCCACUUCACACUCCACUCUAACAUGCUCUCUACUAAUUUCCAACUCCAACUCUCACUAUUCUAAGUAGUUGGUGGAGUUUCUCAACCCUAACAUAACCACAAUUCCAACUCAGAUCUGAUCCUAAUUUAUCAAUUAGAUAGAUGGAGGGGAACUCCGGAGGGGGUGGUGGUAGUAGUGGUGGCGGUGGUGCUGACGUGGAGCUUCUUUGCAAGACGUUACAAGUUGAACACAAGCUAUUUUACUUCGAUCUGAAAGAAAAUCCUCGUGGUCGUUACCUUAAGAUUUCUGAGAAAACCUCUGCUACUAGGUCCACCAUAAUCGUUCCCUUUUCCGGCAUUUCUUGGUUCCUCGAUCUCUUCAAUUAUUACGUCAAUUCCGAUGAACAAGAACUUUUCAGCAAGGAAUUGCAGCUCGAUACAAAGGUUCUAGUAAUAAUCCACUAAUUCAAUUCACCUAAUUUUUCUUUCCCUGUUUCUCUAAUUCCUCUUUUUCUCAGGUUUUCUACUUCGACAUUGGAGAAAAUAGAAGAGGCCGUUUCUUAAAGGUACCUACCUACCUACCUACACAUUUAGGCUUUGUGGAGUUUUCAAUUGCCAAUUUUAGCAAUGUGUGUUUACUGUUUUCUUUCCCAUGAGGGAUAAGGAAAUUGAGUUAUUUAUUCUUGGGAAGGAGUCUGGUAAGGUAAAUAACAGGUAGAAAUUAAUGACCUUAAGAUUUUCAAAUAGGAUUACAUGUCAAAAUUAGAAAUGGUUCAAAAUGGAAAAUUGGAAAUUUUAAUUUGGAUUUUGCAGUAAAUGUUGAGCAUGACAUUUCUAUUGCGGUUGCUUGAAAUGCAUAAUACUACUGUAAGUAAGAUUUAGGAAUUCAAAUUUCACAGUUUCCUGCUCAUAAUGGUGGGUAGAUAGAGAGUACGUUGUGUUUUGCAGUGUUUAAGUAGAAUUAUUUUGGUACCAGUGAAGACCAAACACCUGCAUAGCAACAUGUCGGAUUUGUAUCACUAGAAGCCUUGAACUCUGCAAUAGUAAGUAAAACCCCUUUCUACGAUGAGAAAACUAGAACAUAAUAUUGGUAUGUUUAUGUUGAAGUUAUGUGGAGGCAGAGUUUCUGAUGUUUCUUAGGCAUUGACUUCUGAAGCUUAGUUUAGAUGUCUGUUUGAUGAUUGUUUUUAGGGUCCUUUGCUUAUGGAAUUUUAUAAUACUAAAAUGCCAAAAUCCUUGUUGUCAACUUCGGUUUCUUUUGAAGACUCUCACUUAACCGUCAAGUUGUAUAAAUUGCACUACAAUACAUAUCAUCCCCAUACCUACACAAUUGUUUAGUCUUCAACUUGUAUGUUCAAUACAUCAAUCUUUUAUUCCCUUCUCCUUCAAACCCUGUUUUUCUCUUAAUUAGUUACUUUCUCUUCUAACUCCAUCUGGAAAUAAUCAAUGAUUUUCCCAUUUAUCACACAGUUCAUAAUAUGUGGAAAUGGAUGGACCUCUUAUUUUGUCUGCGUAAAAUCUUAUGUGUCUAAUAUUUUAGGGGUAUCUUCAUUCUCCCCUUUUAUAUUCAUGUUGCCAGAUUGUUGUUCCUAUCCAAUGCUUGCCCUUCAAUUUGGGUUUGAGGGUAGGGAAGGGGUAAAAAAGGCGUUGAAGACCAAGUCAUAAUUUUGUAUUGAAAGUUUAGGGUUGCUGCCAUUAUUGGUUCCUCUCUGUUUUUGCAUGUGCUGUUACACAAUGGAAAAACUCUUCUUAUUUUUGGUGCGACAUCAUUUAUUAUUCGAGAAAAUUGAACAAAAAAAAACUAGUUUUAAAGCAUGCAUCACAGUGGAAUAUAAGAACACUAAAACCGGCCUGCACUACAAGGAAGUAGCUAUGCAGUCAACUGCUAUAUUCUGCAAUUCCUACAUCUUCUAUAUAAGUCGCUGUCAAUAAAUUUGCAUUUGAAUCUGGUGACAGGUUAUGCUAAGUAACAUCUGCAAAAACAUUCUUUGCAAACAACUCUGGUAAUUGGUGUUUCCAAUUAACCCAAAUUGUUUAAAAGAGGCUACAUGUAGUCCUUCAUAAAAAAAUUGCUAUCUUGUUUUGCAUCCUUUUGGGCUUACCCUUAUAUGUGUAUUUUGGAAUUUCUAUCUACGGGAUUACAUUACAUGUAUGCUUAUUUUUUUUUCUUUUCAAUAUCCUGACUAAUUUAUUUUGCGAAGGUGUCUGAAGCUUCUGUCAGCAGAAACCGUAGCACUAUAAUUGUUCCUGCAGGAAGUGGCAGGGAUGAAGGGUGGGCAGCAUUCAGGAACAUUUUGGCAGAGAUUAAUGAAGCCUCGAGGCUUUUCCUUCUGCCCAAUCAGGUUUCUUUCUUUUGCAAAUAGAUAGUUAUUUUCCUGCUUAGCCACCAAUAUUUUCCUAGUUGUCUUUUUUGUGUUAAAACUCAUGUUGUUUGUAUUUCACAACAGCAAAAUUCUGAAUCCUCAGAGCGACUGGUUGGACUUUCGGAUGAUGUUGGUGCUGGUUUCAUAUCGGGUCAUAGUACUCAACCUGCCCCCUCUUCUGAACUGAAUGUCGACAGGUCCGUUGAUUUGCCAGCUCAGGAUGAAAUUGGGAACUCGGGGGUCUCAAAAGUGAUCAGGGCUGAUCAAAAAAGAUUUUUCUUUGAUCUUGGAAACAACAAUAGGGGUCAUUAUCUAAGAAUAUCUGAGGUGUGUUGCUAUUGUGUUUUUGUUGUCUUUCUGCCUUAUAGCUUAUUGGACUAGCUUAUAAGCUUGUUUGAUAAAAAUGUGAAGUGUUUGGUAACGAGCUUCUCUAACUAGCUUAUAGCGUUUUUUGAGAUACUAUUUCAAGUAACGUAUGAGCUUAUAGCUUUUUACAUUUUCCCCAUUUUUACCCUUAUGAUUUUUAUUUAUUAUUUCUUUAUUUUUUUUAAAUAUAAUAACUACCCACUAAUCAUACUCACUAACCAUGUACUUUUAUGUCAUUUUGUACUUACAACAGCUAAAUUUACCAAACACUUUAAUUUUAUUCUACUAGCUUUUCAGCUAUAAGCUACCAGCCAUCACCUAUAAACUAGCUUUUCAGCUAUAAGCUAGCUAGCUUAUAGCUUAUUUUUACCAUAGUUUGGGUGGAAGAUUUUCUGCUGUAAAUUCUUGUUAUCUCAUUGCAGGUUGCAGGUUCUGAUAGAUCCUCCAUCAUUCUUCCAUUGUCAGGGCUCAAGCAGUUUCAUGAGAUUGUUGGUCACUUUGUGGAAAUCACCAAGGACCGUAUUGAGGGUAUGUCAGUUGCUAAUGUCCGUACAAUUGAUCCCCCUCAAAGAUGAAUGCUAACAUGGGGAUUAUGGUGACAAUAAGUAGUCCCCCUUUGCCAAGGUUUCAUCAUGGAUAUGAAUGGGUGUUGUCUUUGAAUUUGAUUUGUGCUAUUUUAUUUAUCCGCAGCCUCAUCCUUUUUCUAAUAUAUAUAUUGUUCUACAAUUAAGGCUUUUGAAAUAAAUCAAACACUUGUUUGUCAGCAGAAUAAUGGGAAUAUCUCUACAAGGUUAGUAAUUUGAAUAGGUAAUAAGGGAAGAAAAUGGACCAGAGACUUGUACUUGAUUGGAUAGUUUGGCAACGGGACUAUACUUUGUACUAAUGAUUGUUUAUUUUGCUUUCCUGCACAUAUUUCACAUGGAUUAAAUUUUCAUACAGGCUAAGGUAUCAACACCUAUUCAGAUCAUAUUUUCGGUUUUAUUAUUUGCCUAUUUUGUGGGGUUAUUCUCAUCUUGCAUCAACUGAAACUUGAUCUUUAUAAGUAUCUGUUUCUAUCAGGAAUAGAUUUUCUCCUGUAAAAAUCUCUCGAGUUUUCUCGAGUGUGAGAAUCUACACCAUUACACAUUGUUUUUUGACAAAAAAUAUCCUCCAUGCAUUUAAUUUUCAAUGGCUAGGAUUUCACUGGUCCCUACAAUCACUACAGAGGAUCCAGUCCCAUUUCCAUCGUUAUUCAUAUCUUUCGAGUAAACAUUCACGCCUCGGAAUGAGUGAAAAGUCGGAUUCAUAAAAAAAAUUUAAGUAACCAACAUUCAAUACUCCAACCCAUGGCCAUAGAUGCAAGUCCCCCUUUUCACCCUCAAUAUCCCUUUAUCACAUUUUUAUAAACACUAAUAAAAAGAUUUUUUUUUUUAAAAUGAAAAAUAAAUAAAUACAUAAAGUUAUUUUCUCAUCUAUCCAUAUAGGCAAAACCAAACAUGGUGCUACUUUAUUUGAUUUUCAAUAUGAAUAAUGCUAGCAACACACUUUUUAACAAACACACUCAAAUACACUCUCUUUUAUUGGUUGAAAUUCACAUGGGUCCCAUAAAAAAAUGUGGACCUAUAUAACUUUUAUAGGAUCCAUAUAAAUUUUAACCAAUAGAAGAGUGUGUUAGAGUGUGUUUGUUAAAGAGUGUGUUGCUAGCACUCCUCAAUGUCCUUUAAGACUUAAGGGUUCAUUUGAUGGUCAGAAUAUAUGAUACUCCCUCCGGACAUAAAUAUAAGAAAAAAAGACUUCAAAUUUUGGUCACUAUAAUAAGCAAAAGUUAACUACUUUUAAACUAAUUAAUACUACUAUUAAUAAUAUACCCUUAUUUAAUUCUACUUUAUUUUAAGCAUUUAUUUCAAUUUUACACUUUUCAAAAUGGAUAAUAUAGUAAACUUAACUAAAGUUUUGCAUUAAAUCAAGAAAAUUAACUACACUUAACUAAAUUUUUUAAACGCCAUGAAAACAUUUUUUUUUCCUUAUAUUUGUGUCCGGAGGGAGUAUGAUAAUUGUAUCAUAUCAACAAGAUAUCAUAUUCUCCAACUUUUUGGAGUUGUGGAGUCUUUUGCUGCUGGUGGUACAUAUUCUCCAACUUCAACUACUGAACACAUGUUGUCUUGUAAUCUAAGGAACAACACCAUUUUAUCCUUCCAGUAGUAGUAAUCAUCUCCUUCAAAUAAAGGCAGUCUAUUUGAUGAACCUCCUUCUGAAAUGAAUUUUGCGUUUUUUGUCAUUACUUCCUUCCUAAAUUUUUCCCUCUAGCACUUGUUAGAUGCUCAAUCGAAGAGGCAGAGCUCUGAUGCCAAUUGAAUUAGCAAAGUUUUUCACAAGGAAGAGGGGUUGAAUUGUGAACCUUUUAAAAUUUUCUUAUAAAAUUAAUCUCAAACCAAAAUGUUAGAAUGAUCUUAGAUCGAUCUGGUUAGUGAUAAAUAUAAAUCAAAAGUAAAUUGUGUGUGUAGUGCUUGCACAAAUUAAAAGAUAGGGAAGAAGAGAAUCAGCACACAAACAAUUAUACUGGUUCACCCCUAAGUAUGAGUUAUGUCCAGUCCUCACGCUCCGUGAGUGUAUCCACUAAAUUCUUGAGAUACUACCGAUCACAAAUUUCAAACCUCCUUGAUAUAAACCAAGAUCAAUAACCUUAUGCACUACAAGCUUAAAUCUACCUCAGUCCAACAUACUUUAAGAGGUGUCACUCAAUCAAUAGUUACGCAUUGACUUGAACCAAUCUUUCUUUUACAAAGAAUUGUUGGAUCAAAAGCUUACAAAUAAACUACAUCUAGUUGAGAAGCUUAAACACAAAAGCACUCGGUUCACUCAAUAGUAUACUAGUCCAAGUAUUUAAUUCAAAGAGAUGGGGAGUGAGUGUGAUUAAAUACUUAUUUGGAUAAUUGGAUAAAAGAAGAGCUUUCUAGUGAGUGUGAUUAAAGAAGAGCUUGAAAACUUGUAUAAUUGGAUAAAUACUUAUUUUUUUGGACAAAUUUGAAGAAUAAUUCUAAAUUUAACUGGGAUAUAUUGAAAGUUAAAAGAAAAAGUCGAAUCCUCCUAGAGAGUUUCAAAAGCUCAUUUUUGAUGAUGUUUCUGGGGCUUGCAUGCCCAGGAAUGUCCGGUUAACUUAGUUUUUUUUCUGUUAUUUUUUGGGCGUUUGCCCUCUCAUGUACCAAAAAAAAAAAGUCGAAUAUAAGUUUGUAAUAUUUCAAAUUUAUCCAAUUAUCAGCUAGUAUUCCUCAAAUAGACACCAAAUUCUUCUCGUGACUCCGUGAGCACGGUUCAAUGAUAAGAAUUUAACUUUAAAAUUUUAGGGGACAUAAUUUAAAUUCUCUUAAUGAUUGCUGUAAAACUCUUAAAGAUUGCUGUAAAAUAAUCAAUAAUUAAUUUUAUAUAGAUAUUCAAUAAAACCCUAUUAUUUUGCAUGCCUUCCAUUUUAUAAAUGCAUUUGAAAAUUAAUUUUUAGUUUUAUGAUAUAAUAACUAGAUACUAAUAUAAUUAUUUUACGGUGGCAGUGGCACCCAUGAAAAAAUAGAGGGCUCGAGUAAAAAAGACAAGAAAAAAAGAAGAAAUCUCUAGUUAGAUGUUAGUGACACAUGAUAAACAUGUCAUUCUAUUUAUAUUAUUAUAGCAAAUGUAGAAAAUUAAAAUAAAAAACAAUAACUCUUUUAACAUAAGAGAGGAGACGAGUAGAUUGUAAUUCAAUCUAUGUGAAGUGUAAUUCUCUCAAAUAUGUUUUGCAUAAGAAGAGAGUAGAAUAUACAUUUUGACAUAUGAGGAGACAAUUAAGAUAAUAAUGCAAUUUAAGCAUCAGAGAAAAGAGAGUUUAAUUUUAUAAAAUGAAUUUACGAGAUAUAUAUAUAUAUAUAUACAUAUACACUUAACUAUUAUUUUUUCGUCUCCAUGAGCAUAAUCAGUUAGUAAUAGGGACAAUAUUAUAUAUAUGAAUUGAGGUUCGAACCAUAUAUAGUAUCACAUUAGCCACUAGACUACUCUAGAUAAAAACUAAAAAAAUAAAAUCUGACAAAAAAAAAAAAAUCUACAGGAGUGGUGUGUUCAAUUUAUGCAAAACUUAGAGGAAUUAAUGAUAUUCUAAUGGUAAAAACAUUUUUGGCUUUUAUUUCACUAUUGUUCUAUAUUUGGAAUAAUUAUUACUAUAUCCUCUUCAAAGCAUAUAUUUAUUUAUUUAUAAUAUAUAUUUUUUAUUCUCUUUAUUUAUGGUAGUAGACCUAUUAAAUAGGCUAUAGAAAGGGAUUGAUCUAUAAACGUAGAGAACUAAAUAAAGCAUGUGAAUAUUUUCAUUGGGUUUUCCUAAUUCUCAAUGAAAGAUUAAAUUCUAAAAAAAGAAAGUAAACAGAAAGUAAGAGAGAAAAAACAGACAUGAGUGGUGGAGAGACACACAUAAGGGGUGUGGGUGAGAGACAUAUUCGUUGAAAACAAACUCUAAAAAAAGGUUUGCAAAGACAUAUAUAAACAUAUUCAUGUUGAACAAGAGAAACACAACACAAUAAACAACUAUCUUUUCCAAUAAACAAAGAAAAGAAAGAGUUGAGAGAAUAAAAACACACAAAACAAUAAUGACUCGUGGGGCUAUUAUAGCUUUGUUGGUUUGCCUUAUGGCAACUGCUGUUAGGUCUGAAGACCCUUAUGUUUACUACACAUGGAAUGUUACAUAUGGUACCAUUUCUCCUUUGGGUACUCCCCAACAGGGUAUUCUUAUCAAUGAUAAAUUUCCUGGACCUGAAAUUAAUGGUUCCAGUAACAACAACAUUGUAGUUAAUGUGUUCAACAACCUUGAUGAGCCACUCCUUUUCACAUGGCACGGUAUUCAACAAAGGAAAAACUCAUGGCAAGAUGGUACACCGGGAACACAAUGUCCCAUUGCCCCAGGAACCAACUACACCUACAAGUUCCAGGUUAAGGAUCAAAUUGGUAGUUACUUUUACUACCCUACCACUGGUCUCAUGAGAGCUGCCGGUGGUAUUGGUGGAAUCAGAGUCUUCAGCAGAUUGUUGAUUCCUGUCCCAUAUGCUGAUCCUGCUGAGGAAUAUUGGCUCCUCAUGGGUGACUGGUACGGAAAGAGCCACACCACAUUGAAGCAAUUCCUUGACAGUGGUCGAUCCAUUGGAAGACCUAGCGGAGUCCACAUCAUGGGAAAAUCCAACAGUGCCGAACCACUCUACACCAUGGAGCCUGGAAAGACCUACAAGUACAGAAUCUGCAAUGUUGGUCUUAAGGACUCUCUUAACGUCAGAAUCCAAGGUCACCCAUUGUUGCUUGUUGAAACGGAAGGUUCCCACACCGUCCAAAAUGAUUAUGAUUCCCUUGAUGUUCACGUCGGCCAGUGCUACACUGUCCUUGUGACCGCUAACAAGGAACCCAAGGAUUACCUCGUGGUUGCUUCCACCCGUUUCACCAAGGAGGUGCAAACCGCAACUGCUGUUCUCCGUUACUCUAACGGUAAUGGCCCUGCUUCCCAUGUUCUCCCACCUGCACCAGUUGGUUGGGCAUGGUCUUUGAACCAAUUUCGUUCUUACCGUUGGAACUUGACCGCUAGUGCUGCUAGGCCCAAUCCUCAGGGAUCUUACCAUUACGGUCAGAUCAAUAUCACUCGUACCAUCAAGCUUGUUAACACUGCUUCUAAGGUUAACGGAAAGCUUCGUUAUGCUCUUAACGGAGUUUCCCACGUUGACACUGAAACCCCACUCAAGCUUGCUGAAUACUACGGUGUUGCUGACAAAGUUUUCAAAUAUGACACCAUCGUUGAUAAUCCCCCUUCUGUCAUCAAUGAAGUCACCGUAGCUCCAAAUGUCAUCAACGCCACCUUCCGUACCUUCAUUGAGAUCAUCUUCGAGAACCCCACCAAGAGCAUUCAAUCUUACAACUUAGAUGGAUACUCUUUCUUUGCUGUCGCGUAAGUAAUUAAUUAAUUAAUAUGAACAAAUUUUACAUCAUUAUUAUUACUAUUAUUAAUUAAUUAUAUUUUGUGUUUUUGUACAGAGUUGAGCCUGGGAAAUGGACACCUGAGAAGAGAAAGAGCUACAACCUUUUGGAUGCAGUCAGCAGACACACAGUGCAAGUGUUCCCUAAGUCAUGGGCCGCAAUCAUGUUGACAUUCGACAACGCUGGUAUGUGGAACUUGAGGUCAGAACACGCUGAGAACAGGUACCUUGGACAACAAAUGUACAUCAGUGUCUUGUCACCUGAAAAAUCUAACAGGGAUGAGUACAACCUUCCAGACACUCAGCUUGUUUGCGGCAUUGUCAAGGAUAUGCCAAGGCCUCCACCACAAUACAAUUAAUUUCAACAUUCAUGCAUUAGCUUGUUGAUGCAUUAUAUUAAUAUAUAUAAAUAAGUAUAUGUAUGGGUCGGUUUUGCUUUCAUUUCUUGUAUGCUAACUAAUGUAUCAACCAACCCUUUCUUAUAUACAAGGAGUUUGUUUACAUAUAAUAUUAUAUAAUUUUUAAAUUUCAUCUCCUUCUGAUCUUCUUUCUCUUCGAUUUCUCUUUUAUAAUUUAAUUGUAUUUUUAAUAGCUAAUAACUUGUACUUUCACUUGUUUAUAUUAACUAAACGUAUAAAUUUAAAAUUUCAUCUCCUUCUGAUCUUCUUUCUCUUUGAUUUCUCUUUAAUUUAAUCGAUGGAAAUAUUUUUAAUAGCUAAAACUUGUACUUCCCGUUGUUUAUAUUAACUAAACGUUUGACCCGCGAUAUCGUACAUGUCUUGUAAUAUUAGAGAUUUCUCUUAAAUGAAUUAUGUCAAUUAAGUCUAGCAAGUAAAAAUAAUGGCUAAUUUGAAGACAUAAGUUAUAAUAACUACUAUAAAUUUAGCAUGACAUGAUAAAUAAUAAGGCUAUAAUAACUACACAUUGCUUAUUAUUAGUAGUAUUAGACAAAGGGGUUUCAUCACAUGUAGAUAUGUAAUUUUUUGUUGGUGUAUAUCUACAUAACUAGACACAUUUGUGCUUCUUAGAUAACUCAAUCAUAAUUGAAUUUGCUUAUGAAUUUGUGGUUUUAUAAUUUUAGUUUUGAACAAUACUAGUUCUCUUAAAGUGAAUUAUAUAAGACAAAUAUGAACCCUAUGGUCUUAAAACUUGAGUUUGUGAUAGUUAGUACUAAUAUAUAGUGAAAGUAUACGUGCACUAUUUAUAAAGGAAAGUCUAUAUUGCAUUGAUUUAUAUAUUGGGUGAUUCUGAAAUAUUAUGCUUCAUUUUUUGCAUGGCUCAAGGGAUAUAAUUCAUUCCUAUAUAUAAUAUAGUUGCCAAAAAAAUUAAGUUGUGAGCAUGCGUAACUUACAAAGACAAUUCAUACAAUAAACAUCAAUAAUGAUAAAGGUCUACUUUAAUAAGUGAGUUCCAACAAUAUAGUUUAUGAGUUUUGUUUUGCGAGAAAUCUUGAUAAUGAUUGGUGUUCGUUAAUACUAUAAACAAUAUACAUGUUCUCACGUUAAUACCUAACGGUUGAAUUGCUGUAAAUAUGCAGAAAUUAAUAAGUGUUCGUUAAUGCUAUAGCCCUAGCAUCGAGUUCUUGAGUUACUUUUCCCAUUAAUGCUGGCUAGCUUUAUAUCUCAGUUCGGGAUUAGUAGUGUUGUCACGAGAUAACCUAAUUAUCCUAUAGAUUUAUUCAAUAAUACGGCCAGUAUUUUGAAUAAAGCAUUAAAGUAGUAGAUAUAAAAGAUAAUAAACUGUAUAGUAAUUAAUAUAAACUUGUUCAAACCAAAUUACAUAAUAUCAAGCAUUCAUAGUGGAGUUCAUUUACUCGAGCUAACCUAAAGAAAUUUAGCUACUCAUACGCAUAAUUAAAACAAAAGAGUAAAAUUAUGCAUACAUGGGACAGAUCAUAUCGUGGCACGAUGGGACAGAUUUCUUUCAUAAAUUUUGCAGAUUUUCUUCAAAUAAAUUCUUGUCCAUCAUGGCACGAUGGUGGUCAUCGUGUGACGAUAUUUUCAGCUAUUUUCUUCAAUUUUUGCUACUUUUGAUGCAUUUUCUUCCACUCUUGCUUCUUGGUCAAGCAUCUUCACUUCUUUAGGUAUUUAAUUGCAUUUGGUCUUGAAAAGCUACUAAAACUAAUAAAAACUAACCUAAAAAGUACUUAAAACAUCAUAUAAAUUUUUGUCAUCACAACCCCAAACUUAAAUUGUUGCUUGUCCUCAAGUAACAUGUCUGUCAAACAAAAUCGUUAGUGAAUUAACAACUCAAAACCAAUCGUUAGUUGGUUCAGUGGUGAUUGGCGUUUGACUUGGUAGGAAGGACCACAGUUCGAUCCCCCCACAACUGCGAUUGAGAGGGGUUGGAACCACUUGAUAUCGAACUAACCCCCAAAUCAGAUUAAACGGUCCAGUAGGUCGGAUACCGGUGGUAAAAUCAAAACAAAAAACUCAAAAUUUUUCUUUUCCAAACAAAAUUUAAUUACAUUGUUUUUAAGGAUGUGAAUGGAUGGAGCAACAUUUAAUAUUUAUAAUUUUUAUUUUUUUGGAAGCAUUUACCGGUGGAUUUGUAGUAUUUUCUAGCGGAAAAUUCUAUCAAUAACUUUGUGGCAGAAUUUUCUGUCAAUAAAUGAUUUUAAAUUUUAUUGAUAAAUUGAGGUUUUCUUAUAGUGAUACACAUGCACACAUUUUGUUGCGUUAUGGACAAUAUAUAACAAAAAUGAUUUUUUUUGUAGGAUAUAGUAUAUUGAAAGCAGAGAUAGAUCGUCAAUUUGUUUGAUGGCGAAACCGUGGGGAAUGAUUUAUGGGAAUGGAUGGAUCUGAUGGCUAGUUUUGUUGUGCUAUUCAAAUGUCAACAUUCUAACUAUAGACAAAGGGAAUUGGUUUGACACAUAAAUCGGAUAUAUGUAAGAGGAAGCACGCAUACUAAGGAGUAAAUGAGAGAGAUGUUAACGGAGUGUUUGAAUGGGUAAUAAGCAAUAAUAUCACCCCAAUGAGUAUAUAUAAUUCACAAGCCAAAAACCUUGAGCAAUGUGGUAAUCUUCUUACCUAACUUCUUAUAAUAGUUAUUAAAAAGAAAAUAUGGAGAGGCCAACAUUUUUGUUGUUAUUAUGUCUCUUGGUUGGUACAAUUUCAAUUGUGAAGAGUGAAGACCCUUACUUCUUUUUCACAUGGAAUGUUACCUAUGGCACACUCUCCCCUGCUGGUGUUCCCCAACAGGUUAUUCUCAUCAACAAUGAAUUUCCUGGACCCAACAUCAACUCCACCAGUAACAAUAACAUUGUUAUUAACGUCUUCAACAACCUCGACGAGCCAUUGCUUUUCCAUUGGUACGUACUACAUACAUACAUACAUAUGUACAAUAAAUGAUUUAAAAUUUGUUUAUUUGUUUUUUAUUUGAUCAAUUAAUUAAUAAAUGAAAUCUAAGCAAUAUUGUAUAAUCAUAUUUGCAGGCAUGGAAUUCAGCAAAGGAAAAACAGUUGGCAAGAUGGUGUAGCAGGAACAAACUGUCCCAUUCAACCAGGAACAAACUUCACAUACCAUUACCAAGUGAAGGAUCAAAUUGGUAGCUUCUUCUACUUUCCUAGCUUGGGAAUGCAAAGAGCAGCCGGUGGUUUCGGUGGCCUCCGCGUGAACAGCAGGUUGCUCAUUCCCGUCCCAUACGCCGAUCCCGAAGACGAUUACACCGUCCUAAUCGGUGACUGGUUUACCAAGAGUCACACUGCCCUUAGCAAAUUACUGGAUAGCAGCCGUUCCCUAGGAAGACCACAAACAGUUCUCAUUAAUGGCCAAAACGCCAAAGGUGACGGAACUGACAAACCACUCUUCACAAUGAAGCCAGGAAAAACCUACAAAUACAGAAUCUGCAAUGUUGGUCUUAAAAGCUCCCUCAACUUUAGAAUCCAAGGUCACCCACUGAAACUUGUUGAAAUGGAAGGUUCCCACACCGUUCAAAACACUUACGAUUCCCUCGAUGUCCACUUAGGAGAAUGCUUUGGUGUUCUCGUAACAGCAAAUAAAGAACCAAAAGAUUAUUACAUGGUUGCUUCAACCCGUUUCACUAAAUCCAUUCAAACAGGUAAAGGUAUUAUCCGUUAUACUAACGGUAAAGGUCCUGCUUCACCUGAACUCCCUGAAGCUCCAGUAGGAUGGGCUUGGUCUUUGAACCAGUUCCGUUCUUUCCGUUGGAAUCUCACCGCUAGUGCUGCUAGGCCCAACCCACAGGGUUCUUACCAUUACGGUCAGAUCAAUAUCACUCGCACCGUUAAACUCAUUAACAGCGUUAGCAGAGACGGUGGAAAACUCCGCUAUGCACUUAACGGCGUCUCCCAUGUGGAUACAGAAACCCCUCUUAAACUCGCUGAAUACUAUGGUAUCGCUGAUAAGGUUUUUAAGUACGACACCAUUCCUGACAUGCCAACAAGUGUUCCAAAAACUGUUACAGUGCAACCCAAUGUUCUUAACUUCAAACAUCGUACUUUCAUUGAGAUCAUUUUUGAGAACCCUGAGAAAAGUGUCCAAUCUUACAAUUUAAAUGGAUAUGCGUUCUUCUAUGUAGCGUGAGUAUACAUAUACAUAUAUUUAUUUACAUACUAUAAAAAUUUAAUUUGCUUAUGCAAUUAAUGUGUUUGUUUAUGUACACAGCGUAGAGCCAGGGACUUGGACACCAGACAAAAGGCAGACCUAUAACUUGCUUGAUGCUGUGAGCAGACACACCGUUCAAGUGUUUCCAAAAUCAUGGGCUGCAAUAAUGUUGUCAUUUGAUAACGUUGGAGUUUGGAAUUUGAGGUCAGAGAAUGCUGAGAAUCGUUACUUGGGACAACAGUUGUAUAUAAGUGUGUUAACUCCAGAACGUUCUCUUAGGGAUGAGUACAAUAUGCCAGAGGGUCACUUAGUCUGUGGACUUGUUAAGGAUCUUCCAAAGCCUGCUUCAUACGUCUAAGUACUAUUAAUGGUGGAAGCAACCAACCUCUUAAUUUCUUUUUAAGUUGUUAUGUAACUAGCAUUCCCCUGUCAGGCUCCUCAGCUAAAGUUUUCAUAUCAUUGUAUUAGCUGAGGUAUUAGGUAUUUUGUAUACAGGGACAGGGUGAAGUGGAGAAAUAACAUAGGGCUUUUCAAGCAUUAUUAGAUGUCAUGUACUAGAUCAUUUUGAAUCAACACUUAUAGAAAUUUCAUUACAUUUUUGUACUUUUACUAUAACUUUUAUACCACAAUUUCUACUAAUUUCUUUUCAGGAUUAAAUAUGUUUUUAUUCUCUAUAUUUAUGCAGCCUUCUAAGAUACUAGUCUCUAUUUAAUUUUUAUUAUAUUUUUAGUCCCCAAAUUAUCAACAUGAAUUAGGUCUAUUAUUCAUAUUUUGUGUGUUUGGGGAAAAUAGAUAAAUGGUUUCUUAUAAUUUUUUAGAGACUUCUUGAAUCAAUAUAAUUGGUAAUCAAUCAAAUGUAAGCACGUGACAGUGAAAGAAUGAAAAGAAAAAAUAAAAAUAAUUACUUAAAUAGCAUCUGUAUUUUUUUAAAAAAAUUAUUAACAUCUUCAUAUACUAAUAGGUCUCAUUCAUGUUGAUAAUUUGGUUGGCCACAUUUACAUUAUUGCAGGACCUGGACAGCAAAAGAAUGGCACGAACUGUCAUGACGUUAUGGAUGAUUUGGUGGAGACGCAAUAAAAAAUGUUGGGAUGACAGGCUACCCUCAACCUUUGAAGUUAAACGACGAGCUAGAGAGUUCGUCUCUAGACGAUUGGCUGUGCGGGCAUUGUUGAUGAGAAUACAGCAGCUUAAAUGCUAGCAGAGUUGUGCAGCAAAAUUGGACAAAACAACAGCAAGGAAGCUUUAAAUGUACGUGGAUGCAGCAUGCUAUGUCACAAAAAAUAGAUACAGCAAUGGAGCAGGUGUACGGGAUGCAGCAGGAAGAUUUGUUAAGGCAAUGACAUCUCACUUUGUCGGCCAGUCAGAGGUGCAAGAAGCAGAAGCUCAUGGACUCUUGAUCACACUUCAAUGGAUACAACAAUUUCAACUCAACAGAGUAGAGAUAGAGAUGGAUUGUUUGAAUGUGGUCCAAAGCAUAGCAGGAAGAAUGGUGAAUCUAACUGAAUUUGGUAGUAUUAUUAGAAAGUGCAAACACAUGCUGAAUUUGAUUCAAAAUUGAGGUCAGUUCUGUUAGGCAGCAGGCAAAUCGGGUAGCUCAUGAGUUAGCUCAAGUGACUCGAUCUUAUGUUAGUCACUAUAUGUCUUUGAUUAUUGUCCAGAGGAUAGUACAGACAAGGCAUUAGAAGCAUGUUGAUUAAAGUAUUCAUGCAUGGGAAUGAAAUUAUAAUCUAUAUUCUUGUUUUUAAUGUUUAUGUACUCUUGUCACAUGGAUUGUUUUUUUACGGAUAUUGAAACUAUUUUAAUUAAUGAAAUGAAUUAAGUUUGCUUGUGUGAAGAAAAAAAAAGUAAGAUGUGAUUUAAUUAAGGAAUAUAAAUUAUAAUUACAAGGUUUAUUAUAUUUUUCUAAUAAUUACAAGGUUUAUUGUAUUUUUCUAAUAAUUACAAGGUUUAUUGUUGAAAAAUCAUAAUCUCGUUUCACUAACAAUUAAUCACAAUUGUUAUGGCAACAUUAUGUUGGUCCGAGUGAAUUGAACUAUGAUCGUUUAAGCAAAAUCUCAGAUUUUACACCGGAAAGGAAAAAGUUAGUUGGCGGGGAGACACCAAUAAAGGUGGUUUGGCCAGGUUUUCGGCGGAAUUAGUUCAAAAUCCGGUUGAUAACAUGGUUACCAAAAAAUACAUAGAUCAGUUAAAGUAGUUGACAAACGAGUUUGAGAGGUCAAGACGGCAGAAGUUUAGGGUUAAAGAACAACAAAUCCCUUCGGACAAAAGCAGUAGUAGUACCAGGAAUAACUGGUAGUUCCAAUCCAAUUCAUUUAUCAAAAAUAGAUAUAUAGUCACAUUCAAUUUCAUACUAAAAAGAUGUGCCCCACAUGCCCAGAGAAAAUAAAGAAUCAACCAAAAUUGGAUUUCCUACAAAUCCUUACACUGCCUGCAGACGCCUGAUUUGCUGCUCGAUUACUUCCAAAAUUCUUCCGAUUUGAUUCCCUCGCAAUUCUAGAACCAAACUGCAGCAAUACAUACAUAUAUACAAUGCAAUGACAGAUUAGUCACUAUGCAAAAAGAGUUGUAAAGCAAAAUGCUUAAGUGUGAAGUUUUCGAGUGCACACCUGUAUUGCUCGUUUAGGAAGGACUGCUGCUUCAUAUAAACCAAGCAAUUCUGCAACCUUCAAAAUAUAUAUUAACCGUGAGAUUUAAGUUUGGAAAUCCAUUUUCUAUGUUAGAUCUUCAGACAGAAUAGGGUUCAAUUUUUGGUAUAAUAAAAGGGAAUAUAUAAAUGCAAAUUCUAUGGUGGACCACUUUGACAGAUGGUCCAUGGUGUACCGGCACUUGAAAAUCACUGGAUACUACAACAAAGAAUCAUGGUACAUCAGUACCUGUCGGAAGUAGAAGCUCGUGAUUCUCCUCAUUUCUUAUGAGUGAGACAAUGACCUAACUAGUUUGAAAAACCAAUGGAAAACGAGCAUUAGUGUCUCAAAAUCGACACAUUCAUUUUCCUUUAUUUUUAACGAACCGGCACCGAUCAAGUCACAAUCUCACUAAUGAGAACAAGGAAGAACGUGAGCUUCUACUUCCAAAGGGCGACAUCGGUUUUCAUUGGUAUUUCAAGUGAUUUUCAAGUACCGGUCCACCAUAGAACCCACCAUAAAGUAUAGCUCUUUCCGAUGGAACUUCAAACUCACUUAUGAAUUCAAUUCAGGCAACAACACUAGUUUCAAGUCCUUAUAUUCAUAACUCCUAAGAUAUAUGAUCAUGUUACCAAAAAUUUGGAUCACAAGUUUGAAUCAGCUGAGUUAAGGUGUUAGGUUAUUGAAAACGGUCUUGAUAAAGUGUUGCUGAGUCAGCCAAUAAAUGGUGACAAGUUGAAAAUUCAUUCGUUAAUAACUUCAUACUUCAUAGCGGUAGAAAACAAGUAAAUAAAUCUCAGUCAACAACAAUACCUCUCUUAAUAUCUUUUUAUCACCGAUGCCACUAGGUUGUUCAAGGUUGGCAACCUCCCACAAUGGAAUGUUGAGUAAAAACCUUAUAACAUCCUCAUCCAAGAACGGGAAUCUAGCCUAAAGAAAAAACAAACCAAAAAAAUGAUAAGUAACCAUGAGAUUAACAUUCUUGCAAUAAUUUGAACAUUACCUCCUUUCCGUUAUCAGCAAUACAUCUAUCAUCUCUCCCUAAAUUUCUUUUCCAAAUUCUUUGCAUGUCGAGUUUCAUUUCCUCGUGUAGCCCCAGCCAACUGAUUAAGGCAUAUUAUACCAUCAGAGUCCAUUAAAAGAUAAUGCACGUGUAGUCAUAGUUCAUAAAUCAGUACUAUUAAGUUAGCACCAAGAUAACCUGAUAAUUUUGAGAUGCUCCUUCUCUAAGCAGAUGUAUAUCAAAAUACCACAUAAAAUACAAUGAGUCUUCCAAAUUAAUUAUCAAUUAAAAAUUUAGUUAUAUAAAUAUUUUAGAACAAAACCCCCCUAUUAACUUUGUUGUUUAANNNNNNNNNNNNNNNNNNNNNNNNNNNNNNNNNNNNNNNNNNNNNNNNNNNNNNNNNNAUACAAGUGGUGUCAAUCGGGUCCUUAAAAUACUCUUGCCAUCAAUUUAGUCUCUCAAAUUCAUCAAUUUAAUCCCUCAAUAAUGGAAACUCUCAUCAAAUUAGUCCCUAAAUUAGGAUUCCAUUUCACUCAUUCCUCAAACCCAACAAAGAAAGACUGAAUUUUGAAUAAUUGAGAAACUAAAAUGAUGAUAAAAAAAAAAUUUAGGAUGAAAGUAUCUUUGGAGGAGAAACCAGUGGUUUAAUCAAUAUUUUUAAAAACAGUGAGCUGAAUAUUAUCAUUUAUAAGUUGUAAACGUAAACAUGAUAAUAAAAUAUGAUUCAACAUUACAUAUUAAUAAUACCUUCCUCGUCUAAAACUUGUUCUAUGUCUCCCAUAACCAGCACACUGUUCAUCAGCACCAGAGCCAACAAGGAGAAUCCUUGCAUUGGACUUGUACUUAAUCCGUGCAUGAGUGUCAUCAUUAUCAUCUGCAUCAGACACCCAUCCAUCACCACCAGAAGCGAGCCAUAAAGCUAUUCCAAUAUUAAGGUCCUGAAAUGAUAUGUGCAAACCAAUCAUCAAAUAAUGUAAAGGUGUUUGAAAACUUAGCUGUAGGCUUUUCAGUCUGAAAUUUCAGCAGAUCGAGAAUUUAACUGAAGAUAAUUCUAAUCAAUAAAAACAUCAAACUUAUUCAAUGCUCUAUGCAAUGCUUGGAUAAAGGAAAGACAAGUUUAGAUUCUUAACGAAGACCUACUUUACCUCUAAUUUUACCUUUUCUAUUAUUAUAAACAUGUAUUACCUUAAGAGACCACAAGGUAAUCUAAAAUUAACAACUGAAAAUUAAAUGAUGUUGAAAAAAGUACAAACAUAGAAUACAGAACGAUAUGCCUUUUUGACAGUCUGAAAUUUGCAAUGGGUUCAUUAUUCAAAUCAAAUCAGAUAUGUUCACGGAUAUGACAGAACUAGAACAGUAAAUUAAUGAUCCAGAGGAUUAAUUUGUACCAUGUAGGUGUUGGCAGGAUUUAUGAGUGACAUAACAUGACUAGUUUCGAACAUCAAGUCUGACAAGUCAGCAUCAAUCUCGACGAGUCUCCACCUGCACUUUCAACAGACGCUGUAAAACAACUGAACAUGACAGAUGCAAUAAAAGAUAUUUACAUAAAUCAAUUCCAAUAAAUCAGUGUUGUCAAGAUCUUGACUAAGAUCGGAAGGGGGUAGCAAGAUCGCAAGUUGCAAAUAGGAUCGUAAGUUCCUACCCAAGUAAUUACGAAAGAUCGAGAGGGGGUAGCAAGACUGCAAAGUGUAAGAUCCUGCCAAAACGAAAAACAAUUCGCGCGCGCGAGUGUGUGUGUGUGUGUAAGCUUACAAGUCUUAACUAACAAAAAUCACAUGCAAAACAUGAGACUUUCACAAGUUUAAAAAUAGAACAACAAACUCCUCGAAAGAAACUACUCAAAGCUUAAACAUAAAACAAUUAAGUCCACAAAAGAAAAUACUUAAAGCCUAGAUUGAAUCACAAAUGCGCCAAUUACUCGUAACCUCCAUAAUAUCAACAUUUUCAUCUUCAUUAAUACCAUCCUCCUUCAUUGUCACUUUCUAUAACAUCAGGGACAUCCAAUUCAUCUACAGGUGCAAUACUAAUACCAAUGUUUUCAGUGUGAAUAAAAUCAUCAUCGGGAACAACCAUGGCCACACCAGUGACUUAACCAGGUCGAUCACCGGUCUGGGUUUUAAAACUAUGAGUGGAGGUAGUGGAGGAGAUCCACUCUCCCACCAUUCCUCCUCCUCCCAUUAUUUAGGCCAUGCCUUUUAAAAAAUAUAUAUCUACUUAGUCAGCUGAUGUCUAGCGUGGCUCAUGCUUAUCUGAGCAUAUCCGAGUGGGUCUCCCCAGAGUGAGAAAAUUCCUCAGUUGUUGGGCCGAAUUCAGAUUUAUGCUUCGGUAUGACAUGGGUCGAACAAUGACUGUCGUACAUUAAGCCCAAAAUAUCUAUGACGAUACAAAAAAACAAAUUAACUUCACUAUUAUUAAGUAUUUAAUUUUCUUGUGUCAAGAUCUCAAUCUUGCCAACAUUGUUCACAAUGAUUUGUUAUUUUAGAAAAUAAAACUUGAUGUCAUCAAUUUCAUUUUGAUGCCAAUGUAUUCUUUCAUGAACAUAUACAAACAGCAAAAUAUGUUGUUAUAUGCAUCACAAGAAGUUUGCAAAGCAAUGAAUGAAGGAAUGAAGUAUGCCAAGACAUUUUAAAACAAUAGGUCAAUUAUUAUACAUAUUUCCUCCCAACUCACAAAUUUAUUCACUUUUUAACAUUCAGUGUAGAUUCAUUCACAUCUGCGAGAUUUAGUUAAAUAUUUUCUAUUUGAAAUUAGAUUGCAGUAUUUCCUACAACGAUGGAACAAACAUUACCAGUCAAACCACAUCAUUAAUCAUACAAGAAAUAUAUGUUCCAGACCACUUGCAAAGUUGCAAUGCCUCUAACUAAGGAAAAGAUAUAUAGUUUACCGCAGAUAUCCAAUCUGAUAAUAGGUACAACAUUUCCUCUAUUUUUCAAUCUUUUCGACCAAAAUAAAAUAGAUAAAAUUCAAUAUCAUAUUACAUAAAUUUAUAAUUAUUCAAUAUGCACACUUUCUUAACAAACUUCAUUUUUGUAUAUAACAAUUUAAUAUUGAAAAAAAAAUAAAAUUCAAAUUCGGUAUUUAAGAAAAGGUAUUUUUACCAAGCAACAAGAAAUAUAUAAAAUAAACAAGGAUUGCAUACCUUCUGGAUGGUGCAACUCUUUUUAGUUCUUUCAACCCUGCCUUGGCAGAUUUUCUAUCAGGAGCCAACUCACCAUCAAAGCUUACAGUAAGUAGAUCAAUUUCAUCUGUCAAUUAAAACAAACGUUAGACAUUCGGCUCAUCAGAAGGUUCCUAGAAUUAAAACAUGUAAACUAUACGAACUCAACCAAUUCAACUUUAGGCGAUUCAACACCAAACAAGGAACUUGUUACAUAUAAUACAUUCAUAUGAUUUAAUCCAAUGGCUUGAAACUUUGGGAUGGGAUAGUUGAUUUGUGACAUGUUACCAAAGCCUCUAUGAUCAAUUGACCAUGCAAUCUAGAAGUUGAUCCUUCUUACUCCCAUUCUUCUAAAUUAAUAUUUAAGGUUCAACAUGUGCAUUGUUUAUGCUUCGAAAGGGCUCUUGCAGUAAAAGGCAUAUUAGAUAUAAAUCAUUCAUGUUCAAGAAGGUGCAGUAUAAUCACCAUAGAAGAAGGUAAUUUAAGCUUAUUUGGGAGCACUCACAACUGGGAUCCAGACAUUGAUCCAAUAAUGCAGAAAGUAUCAUAGAAUCCAGCCCACCAGAGAAAAGAACUGCAACAGGAACAAAUUUCUCUUGUCUGAUACCACAUAUCGCUGCCUAUGCAAUCAAAUUCAAAGAGUUCAAUCACGAGUUAUGACAAAUAUAAAUGACAUUGACUGAAGGAAAACAAGAUCAAGUCUACAAUAAAUACAAAUGUCAUUAAAGCCUCUAAGGUAAUGCCAUCCAAGAAUAAAAAUGUUGACUAGAAAAGAAUUGAUGAAGAUUUAGAAAACAUAUAAUGGAAAUCCAAAUUCAAUUAUUAGAAUUUCUAAAUAUGCCAAACACAAAAAAUUGGUGGAGAGAUGAAGUAGUUGCAAUUUGCAUAAGGGAAAUACAGGUUAUAAUAAUUUGUGUCAGAACUUAGCAUCGUGGCAGACUAGAAAUAUUUAGUUCAGCGUGAAUGCGCAUGAUUCUAGUAACAAAAAUUCUGGAAGUUUUCCAAUAUUCACUUUUUUGUUUUUAAAAAUUUCAAGAAAUACGUUCGUUAAAAUAUUUGCUACAUUGCUUAAAAAAAAAAUGCUAGAUAAAUAAAAAAUAAGCUGAGUUAAAACAUGCGAAUUGUUAGAGAAUACAAAUAUCAUUCACCUUUAUCACUUUAUCUUAAGAUUUUAUUUUUUUAGUUUUUAUAGAAAUACAAACAACGAUAGCCAUGACACAACAAUUGAAGUUGCUGUCGAUUGACUAAAAGGUCACAGAUUCACAAGUUUGAGUUGUGAAAUCACGAAGCUGAUAAAGAUUUUAAUGUAAGACACGAAUCUCGAAUUAUUCAUCACAACUAUUUGACAUCCCCAAAGUUGAAAAAUCCUAUCAACAUCAUACAAACUGAUGACAACACAUAAAGGAAUGUCAAAAGGGUGGGGAUAAAAAAUUAAGAGAGUAUUGUGAGUUGUAACAAUAAUAAACAUCACAUAAAAAUAAAUUUAUGCACACAUUAUGUGAAAAAAUAAAUAAAUAUAACAUAUACAGAACUUAAAUAUACACAUAUAAAAGUUAUUUUAAAUAAAUUGUUCGGGGAUGGAGUCUCCACGGGGUGGGGGAUAAAAUUCUAUCCACAUCCCCAAACACCAUUUACAGAUCAAAUUGACAUCGUAUUGUUAGCCAAACAUCAUAAGAGGUAUAAAUAGCUUUAUCAUCUGGUUUCAAUUAAGUUGCAUACCCGAUAAAUAGUAUACAAUGACGUACGCCGUAUCACAGAUUCCUUUAAAAGAUUUAGCAACAUAUGAGCUUGCAUUGGAAUUUCAGGUUGAAUGGAGCCUGCUAAAUCAAGACAGAGAUUGUCAUAGCCUCUAAAAACUUAAUAGUUACAACAGAAUUGCCAAAUAGUGGUAAACACACUAGAAUGUAUGGGAAUGGAAAUUAAGUAUUUUAAUAAAUAAAUAAAUAAAUGGAGAAUUAUGGCACUAUCAUGGUAAUCACCUGCUUCGUGUGGAACUAAAUCUAAAGAAAUUGAAUGUAGAUCUUGUUCCAUCCUAGAAAGCUUAUGCUGAGAUGUCUGCUGGUUUUCAGAGCUUGGUUCAAUUGAAUUUCUCUCCCACUUGAUAAGUUCAUUUAAUAUUGAGUUUGUAUAUUCAUGUAUCUGGACUUCUCCAACCAGAGAUCCGUUUGAAUUUGAAGUAUCCUCUUGCAUACUAUAUAUUCCACAUGGUAACUCUUCCCAGUAACUAAGAGGUUCUACGCCAAUAUGAGAUUCUUUUUCUGCAGCAAAUUAAUAUUAGUGAGUCCAGUGAUAAGUAGAAGGUAAGAGAGGUAGGCUAUACUAUAAAUAAGUGAGUGAGUUAGAUUUGAAUUAUUUGUGAUUAAGAUGGUAAGAGAGGUAGGCUAUACUAUAAAUAAGUAGAAGGGAUUGAGGAAGAGUGUCAAGUGAUUUGAGAAAGUGUUGAGGCCUUAGGAACGGAAUGAGCCACAUUGUUGUUCUGUAAUCAGGGAACUUCCUUAUUUUUUUUAUUUUUUUUAUCUAAGGGAACUUCCUUAUUAUUAUUAUUUUAAUAAGAUACGAUACCAAGUUCCAAUCAACUAGUAGCAGAGCUAUGACAAUACUGCAUUUUGUCCAAAAUUUGACAGAGAGAAAGCUUAUUAGUGGCUAUUCAAUGCAAAAUUUUGAGGCCAAUAAAAUUGUUGAGAUAAGCAGCAGCAAAUAAGGAGGCAUGAAAUCUCCUACAAACAGUCAUACACUUUGUUGUUGUUUCAUAAUGACAUAUCCACCAAUGUUAAAUGAUACUGAGUGCAUACUGCAUAGUUUACCGUACAUUCUGACUAUCACUAAAUGAGAAUAACUAUAGGUUAUUUUUACGAAGUGCCAAUAGGUUCUAUUUAGGUCACUCUAUUUCACAUAAAUUGAACCAUAAGAGCAAGACAACAGCAGUUUUUCUGUUCCAAUCCCAUGUAUUACAUACCAGAGGCUUGUCGAUCUGGAGAAACUGGCGAUACAGAAGAAAGAAGAAAAGUUGAAUCGUCUUUUGUAGGCCAGUGAACAAGAAGGCUCCUCCUUCCAAAUGCAUCUCGGCCAAACCAAAGGGUCCUUGAACUAUCCUGCAAUAAAAGAAUGUGCACUGCCACCUAUGACCCCACAACCACAAGAAUAUACACUGCUUUAAAAUUUGUACAGACAGAAACUUACCACUUUUAGUUACCUGCCAAUAAACGAUAGCCCAUGGUCCCUUAAUUGUAGAAAGAACAUCUGUGACGGAACCUUUCCCACAUUUAACACAGAAACCAGUCAAAAAAGAGCCACAGGAGCAACAAUUUCCGAGCGUCUGCAUGAGAAAUUCGGCAUCAUUGCAAUCAGUAGCAAGUUGAAGUCCUCCAAAAAUCUCACCUAAAGAGCAUGACAAAAAAUUAAAAUUUAAAACAUCUUAUUGCAAACCAUUCACUAAGAGAUAGACAUUCCACGAAUUAAGUUGAAGUCCUCUCUGAACCCUGUUUUUCAUUCAUUCUGACCCUGUUUUUUUUUGUUCACCUCUCUUACUUCACUUUCCUUCACUCUGUUUUUUCACCACACUCUGUUUUUCAUUCUUUUUUCAACUGUGACUGUAAUGGCCUUUUUUUUGAGUUAUUUUAUGAACUUAGUAUUUGGUUGUUAUGAGCUUAUGAAAUAUUAAUUAAUGUUGUGAUUUGUAAGUUAUUUUGUUCAUGUAUUAUAAUUUUUGUAUUCGUGUGUAUAUAUCUAUAUGUGAAGUUACAAUUUUUGCCCUUGAGUAGGAUCUUACAAAUCGUGCCAUGACCCUCGUGCUUAGAUCCUUCACCAGCCUACCGAUCCUGUUUAGAAACUCGAUUAUGAAUACAUUGCUCACGACGAACAUGAUAUCAUGGCAAAAACAAGAGAGGCCCAAUUUAGAUAAACAGCUUAUAGCAUAAUCGCUUAUCAUGAUUAGCGCUUAUCUAGAAAAUUCCGAUACUCUAAAAUUGCAAGUAUCGCGUCAGAUACUGUAUACUACAAUGAUAUGUGUCAGAUACUUCCCGAUACGUAUCAGAGAAGUAUCCAGUGAUUAAAUUUUAUUUUUUUACUAGAAAAAUAUCAGACACAUUUGCGAUACUUCCUAAUAAGUAUCGGAGAAGUAUCUAGUGAUUAAAUUUUAUUUUUUUAAUACAAAAAUAUCAGUCACAUUUCCGAUACGUUGUUUCUUGAUGAUGGGAAUGGAGGAGAGGAGACUAAAACAAUUGAUGUUAACCCUUAAGUAGUGAAUAUUAGAUUAUGAUAUUCUUUUUAUAUAGUAUUGAUGAUGUCUUUUAAGAUAUGUAAUUCACUUGAUUAGAUAAUUUUAGUAAUGUGAAUGUUUAUUUUAUCAUCAAUUUUAGUUUUUUUUUUUAAUGCAUAUUAUCAAUUUUAGUUAAGUUUAUAUAUUUUGCAUUAUAUAUUUAAUUUUAAAUUAAUUUUUUUUUAUUAAAGUAUCUUUGCCUCAUCGUAUCUUAAAUUUUAAAAAUUUCCCAUCGCCGUAUCGUAUCUGUAUCAAGUAUCUGGGCUGCUUGGCCGCUUAUCUAUAAGCUAUUUCUAUAACAAAAGAUAAAUCAAAUUGUUUUCAUAUAAGUUAUAAGCUACUUUCAUAUUCAUAAGCUAUCUUAGAGAAUUUUAUGAAAAUAACCUAAAAACAGCUUUUGAACAAGUGACAAGUUGUUUUCAUAAUUUCUCCCAAACAGUUUCACAAAUGUUUAUGCCAAUACAUAAACUUAAAUAAGUCAAUCCAAAUAAGCCAAAAUAUUCUACAAUCAGACAAAGUAGCAGAAAGUACCGUUAUAAAGAAGAAUGUUUCGAGAAGCAUCCACUAAAGGUUGAACAAGAGGAAGAGUUCCUCUAAGCUGCAAAGUUGCACCAAUGAAACAAAGUUCACCGUUACCAUCAUUGUGUGGAAAAUUAAUUUUCUUUACACCCAAACUAUCAGGACCUCUUCUCCGCAGAGCUUCUUUCAGGUCAUCUAAAGAAAUCACCAACUGCACAAAAUCAUACGAUAAAAAAAGAAUGGUGUUAAUUGUUUUUCGUAACAAGUUGUAAUAAGGUUAGUGAUUUUGAAUUAGAAUUUGGUGGUUACAUUUUCGGAUUGGCGAUUUGGGGAAGCUGAAUCGAAUGGAAGAGAUGAGAUGUUGAUUCGAAUGCCUGAGACUGUCAACGCAAUUCCACACAUUUUUCUUUCUGCUUCUGUUCUGGGGAAUGUGGUUUUUUUUUGUAGGGUUUUUGAUGGUUAACUCAGUUUGGUUCUGCUUGUAUUCAUAUUUUAAUUUUAAUUUAAUUUACAAUUUUAUUGUCUUCCGAACAAGGUUGCUUCCGUAGCAUAGUGGUAGUGCGUUCGCUUCGUAAGCGAAAGGUCGCGAGUUCGAUCCUCGCCGGGAGCUAUAUUGUUUUAGGUUAUGUUUGAAUAUGAAAUGUGUUGUUAAAUUUUAAGCUUAAUUUUUUUUUUUGAAGACAGGCUUAAAUGUUAUGUAGCCCUAUUAUUUUGAUUGAAUUUGGAUUUAACCACCUAUUUUUAAAAAUGUAAUAAUAUAAAUUAAAGUAGCACAAAUAAGUUUAUUUUUAAGACAAAAUAAGUUAUAAAAAUAUAAAAAUUAAAUAAAAACAAAUAUGCCCUCCAUUUCUUGUUAAAUGUCGUUUUUGAAGAAUUUUUUUGUUGUCUCGUGAAUUUAGCUCAGUGGGCAAGGACUCGAACCCCAUCAUUCCACUUAUUCACUUUAAGGGUGAAAUUUCUAGCCUAACUUUCUCGAUAACUCGACUUCACAUUUUUCGUAAAAUUUAAUGGAGAGUGGAAUAGUGUAUAUGCUAAAUUUAUUUUGAAAAAGAAAAUGAGAGUGUAUAUUAAUCUUGUCGUCAUUUGAUUAUCUCUGUGUUUAAUUUUUUUUAGGCUUAAUUGCAGUUUUGAUCCCCUAUUUUCACUAUUUUGCAGAUUUAGUCCCCCUAUUUUAAAAUGUGACAGUUUUGGUCCCCCUAUCAUAAUUUUUAACUAUAAAUUGGCGAUGUGAUAUGUUUUAAACGACGUGACAUAUGAUAUGAUGAUGAGAAAAUAUCAACAUCGAUGAAAUUGCAAGAUAAAUCCUUCAUAAAGUUAAUUUAAAACAUGUUGUAUCACCAUAUUUUAGACCAAAAUUGGUGAAUUUUAAAAUAGGGGAACCAAUUCUGCAAAAUGGUGAAAACACGGGGACAAAAACUGCAAUUAAGCCUAUUUUUUUACGAAUUGGCGAAUUUAUGAAUUGUUUUUGAGUCGAUUGAUUACUAACCAUAACCAUUGAAACUUAAAUAUGAGAUCAUUGUUCAGUCAAUAAGUGUUUUAGACAUAUCGAAUUAUUGUACUGUGAUAAAGAUAAUUAAUGUGCUAUCAAACUUUAUAUGAUUUUGAAUUCGCCUAAGACAUUAGUGUAUUAUUAUGAUAGAAAAAAGUUUUUAUUGGUCUGAACUAUUUUGUUAAUUCAUCGUAACAACAAGAGUAAAAUUAUAAUCUAAGGCUGAUUUUACCAAAUUGUGAAUAGGAAAUGAUUCCAAGAACCUGUUCAUCUAUAAUCUAUUUGAAAAUCACCAAUAUUUACUAANNNNNNNNNNNNNNNNNNNNNNNNNNNUACUUAUAAACCAUCAACUUUUUGAAAAAAAAAAAAAGUAAAAUUGUAAUCUAAGGCUGAUUUUACCAAAUUGUGAAUAGGAAAUGAUUCCAAGAACCUGUUCAUCUAUAAUCUAUUUGAAAAUCACCAAUAUUUACUAAUUUGUUUGAUAACCAAAACUUAUGCCAAGCAUACCUCCUGAUUUACAACCUUGAACACGAUACAAUUGUUUUGUCAAAAUUAAAUAAUUCUUAUGAAUACAAAUUUAUUUAUUAUUUAACGAUAGUAUAGUUUAGUUGACUUACUAAAUUGUCCUUAACCACCCAAUUGAAAAGUUCUAGCUAGUGGGAGACAUGUUUAUAUAUAGGAGAAUGUUAACAUGUACACUAAAAGCACAUGUUAAGGAAGCAAAAAUAGAAAGUAUUAAAUGUUGAAGCAUUAAAUUUUAACUUUUCAAGCAUUAAAUUUUUGUAUCAUUAAAAGUUAAAUUUUUAUAUUAAGGUACCUUAACAUGUGCCCUAUAUGCACAUGUUAACAAUACUCUUAUAUAUAUUGCAAAGAGGAGUGCUAGCAACACACUCUUUAACAAACACACUCUAUUCUAUUGGUUAAAAUUUAUAUGAGUCUCAUAAAAGUUAUAUGGGUCCACAUUUUUUUAUGGAACUCAUGUGAAUUUCAACCAAUAAAAAAAAGUGUGUUGAAGUAUGUUCGUUAAAGAGUGUGUUGCUAACAUUAUUCAUAUUGCAAAAUCACUUUAAUUAAUUAUGCUUUCUAGUGGGAGACAUCUUUCUUUAGAUGGAAAAUAUCACGUUAAUUAAAUUAUCUUUCUUUAAAGUUCAAAUUGAAUUAUACUAGUAGAUUACCAUGGUCCCCUCAUCUUUAAAUCUUGAGAGUUUAAUAAAAAUAUAAUUUAAAUCAUAAAAUAAGAUAUUGAAGGCACUAGUAUCUAAUUGAGAGGGGAAAUCUCAACUUGUGUACUCCACGGAUUUCUCGAUAAAAUUUAGUAAUCACUAGCUGCGGUGAAAAUGUGCGACGAUAGUUAAAGGAACACGUUUGCCGACAGUUAGAAGCAAAUACUGUUUCAAGUUUCAACAGAACACGUAUUCCCCACUCUAUUGUAUUAUUUAUGUCUGAAUCGAUAAGGUAGACCCACAUUAAAAUCUUCAACCACAAUUUUCAUAGAUAUUUUACAUUAUAAAAAUCACCACUAAGAUUAUAAAUAAUUGAAUCGAACAACCCUGUUCAAUCAUCUCAUAACUUAAAAAAAAAACAUCAACAAAAAAACAAUGGCAGCAAGCGGAGAAGAGAAGAAGAUUUCAACAAGUGAGCUUGCAGCAAGUGCAAAGAUUGUAGCAGAAGCAGCACAAUCAGGUUUCGGGAAAGAUGUUGACAAAGACAAGACAGCAGAGGCUGCAGGUGAUCUUCUAGAUGCAGUUGGUCAGUAUGCUAAAUUGGAUGAUCAGAAGGGAUUAGGACAGUAUGUUGAUAAGGCUGCUGAUUAUCUGCAUAAAUAUGAGGGUGAUACUCCACCAGCUUCCAAACCAGAUAAGCCCAAAGUUGAUGCUGCUGCUGCUAAGUCUGAAGAUGGAGGGUCAGGUGGUGGACUAGGUGGAGAUUUUGCCAAGGUUGCUGGAGGUUUCUUUAAAUGAAAAUUAUUAACUGAUUUGGAUUUAGCUUGUUAAUUGUGUCUUGAUUAUUAUCACUUUAUGUAUUGUUUUUAUCUUAUCUUAUAAUGAAUAUAGGAUAGGAUAGGAUAUGUAUGAUGUAGUAUUGUGUUGUGUGAUGAUGGAUAUGUAUUGCACCGUAGCAGAGUUGUGUUGUCCACUUUUGAACCAAGAGAUCUCAUGCCCCUGUUUGUUCAUGUUUUUAUUCCCAAUUCAGAUGCUAUAUACAUGUUGUGAAUUUUAUGUAGAAAUCAUCACAAGAUAGAAUUAUUGUUAAUG
rnacentral:lncRNA from 1 species